rnacentral:lncRNA from 1 species
ACGGAGGGCCUAAGAGUAAGAAAGUGUCGUAUCCGCUAAGGCGGGCUUGGAGCGAAGGGAACUUGGCUUUGGUGGCUUCAGCCGGUUCUUCUGUGCACUCCUCGCCGUCUUCCUCGCCGGCUAAGCACCACCAUGCGGUCGGGAGGCUACAUCAGCGGCGGCAGUCGCAUCAACAAUUGGAUACUUUGUGCGAUGAGGACGAGGAGGAGGAUGAGGAGGAGAAUGUUCUCUUCAAGGUUUGAUGUAUGUUUGUGAUUUGAUCAGAACAAUAAGUAUACUUUGUUUGAUCAAUAAUAUGGGAUAAUCAAGUUUUGUAAUUAAAUCUAAUUUUGAGUUUACUCAGAGAGGUUUGUAAGUUUUUCUGAUCAUCAUCAUAUCAAUGCUAUUUUUUUAUCUGGCAAUCAUCGUAUUUUGGUUAAGAACAUGCUCUCUUUCCGUUUUGAACUCACUAAACAGAAUAUUGGGUUCUAAUUUGUUUCUAUCCAUCUUUGUCAAUUUCACUCCAAAUUUGCAGGUUUUAGACUGCAAAUAUGAAAUCUUGGAUCCCCUUCUUCCUUGCUCUCCUUCAAAACCCAAUUUGGGGAUCUAGCUAGAUUGUGGGUUGAGCUAUUGAGGAAGAACUUUGGCAGAGCUCUCUUUUAUAUUGGAUGGAAUCAGGGUGGGAUCGAGAGUGACCAAAAUAUAAUAUAACAGGUCAUAUGUUUUUGUUAGAGGUGUCAGACAAAUAACAUGACUGGUAACCCUUCUCAAGAUGUUGAUAAUUGGAGCCGGUGCCAAAAGCAUACAAGUAUAUGGAAAUUUUUUUUGACUUCUUACUUAUAACAAGUCAUUCAGUUCAACAAAUAAAUUGUAAGCGGACAUAUGUGUAAUAUAUUUACAUAUGUAUUAAAUUGUGACUUGCAGAUAAACCUUUUUUUAGAUACUUUUGGAGAUUCUUCGAUCUAGAUUAAACAAUGCAUAGGAAUUUGGAGAGCCGUUAACAUAAAGAAAGACUAUCAGUCUUUGAGUGUGUUUAAUUACCAAAUAGUUAAUAAAGCCAAUACAUUAUACAAUACAAUCCAAACACCAACCGACAUUUAAGAGAAAAUUUUUAAUGUGCCAAGCACACUACACUAAAUAUCAUAAUAUAAUUAGUUUGAUUUUUUUUUUAAAUUUCUCAUCAAUUAUAAUAUUACAGUUAGUGUAUUGGAAUAACCCUGCACACUAAAAAUCUCUCGUAUUCUAGGCUGGAUGGGAUGUUUAGUUGGCUGCACCAACAUGUUCAACAAAUUAGAAAACAACUUUUAUUAAAUAUUAUAACAAAAAGAGGAAAAGAAAACGAACAAACAGAAGAAAUGACACACAAAGUGAAAUACCAUCCAUGUUCUCAUGUCCCUCCAUCUAUGCUUCCCAAUCUGUCAUUUUAAAAUACCUAAUUAGAAACACGAAAAUAAUUUCCGUACUCUAGGUUUUCUCUCCGUACUUUUGUUGUUGUUUUGUUUUUGUCAUUAAAUUCAUCGAAAAGAUAUGAGGCACCUAAAUAAAGAAAUAAUACUGACGAAUGAGGUAUUUUUCUCAAUCCACUGUUUUUUGAGUUCAAAUUUAACUAUCUUCAUAGGAAUGGUUGCGGUUACUUAAAUUUUUUUAAAAGUAACUUCUUAAAAAAGUUGGGGUCUUAUUUGUGUUUAGUAAGUGAAAGUAGCUUCUUAAAAAUUACAAGUCCAAAACAACAGAACGCAGAAGCAGCUCUAUACAUGCUUCUAAAAAAAAACAUUUUUUUUUAUCAAUAGAGGCAGGUGAACAAUAUUGAAUUUCAUAUUGACAAUUCUACCUUGAUUUUUUUUUUUCACUAAAAGCCUUUUUUUUCACAGUUGUUUAGUCUCGUAGCAAAGCAGAAGCAAUUUAAAAUUUAAAAAAAGAAAGAAAAGAAAACACAACAACCCAAACUGAUCUUUAAUGUAGCUUAGAAUAGUAAUAUUAGUUGUAAUUAAAAAAAAUAAAAGGAAGAUCCAAAGAACAAAAGGGGAGUUUAGAAAACAUUUUCCAUUUAGAAAAUGUUAUCUUGUUCUUGCCGAAUGAAUAUAAGUAUUACGAAUAUGUCGACAUUGAAGAUGGCUACCACAUAAGAAUAUGACACACACAGAGAGUUUUGUGGUUGUACACCGUGCACACUCCAAAUGAGACAACAAUAUACAACAAAAAGAAAAUCGAUCAUCAUACAUUAUCUCCUCCAAUUGCAGAGGAGAUAUUUGCCUUUUACGGCGGGUAUAUUCAUUUGUUUAGUAUAACAUUGAUCACGUGACCGAGAUAUAUGUCUGGUAAUGGCGAAAUCUUUGCCCGCUUGCAGAUCUUUAUAAGCAACACAACCAAGAAAAGUGUACAUUUUUAAUUUGUUAGUCCGAAGUACAAACUAUAAGCUGCCAAUACGCAUGCCUUGGUUCCAAAGCUCACAGGCCUUGCCAAAACUAAAACUCAAAUAAGUGGUGCUACGAGGAAACAUAUCAUAGGCAAAAGCGUCAAGUACGAGAGUUUACACAGAAAGGUGGAGAACACAAAGGACUACCAAAGUUUCUGUCUAUAUUCUGUUGAGAAUGAAUUACACGUUAAUGAGAGGAGAGACCUUACAUGAACUUAUGUAGUGAAUAGUAAUUGCAACAGUGCAUUUCAAGUUUCAAUUCCGUAAAGAACUUACGUUUCUACAUAUAUGUGAUAUCGAAAGUUACUGUGAGAAGUUCACUUACAGAUUUAAGUACAUAUAAGAUAGCUGCAUUAUGUUAUCAUUUUUUUUUUUUUUUUGGAAAACACAUUAUGUUAUCAAUUUAUCACAAAAGAUAAAGUCACGAUCGAAUUUUCAAAUUCUUAUCGCACAAAGCAACAACACGAUCGACAUGGAGUCUCGAUCCACUGAAUGAAUUGCGAAUACCAUAUCAGAACAUUGUUUCUCAAAAUAAAUGGAAGCAGGCAGUCAAGAUUCGAGAUUACAAGGCCGGGAUAUACAAAAAUGACCAUGAAAAGGAUUGAAGCAAUAAAACGGAUUGAAGCAGAUAGUGUUUACUACCUUACUGAUAGUGGUUAUUAGUUAUUUUCAAGUAAUGACAAUUCCAAUGAGGUAAAGUUGAAAGGCAAAAACGCAAGAGCGAGAGAGGAGGGAGACAGUGACUCCAUAUUUUACGUCCUAAAGUUACUAUUCUACAAGGACGAGAGAGAGAUAGAGAGAGAGGACGGUGACGCCGUGCUAAAACGGAGAUGUUGUCGCGUAGAAACAGUCAACUAACUCACGCUCAUAACAAUAGGAUUGGUAACAAGAUUAGUAAAAAGACGUCAUUACGGAGAAAAACUAUGUUAAAGUCGUAGAAACAGUCAACUAAGCUUAAGUAAGAAAAUCGUUUUGUCUAAACUCUCCCUCUCUCUCUCUCUAAAGCAUGUGUUCGAGAAGCUGAUUUUUUCAAGAAAAACCAACUGCCUUGUUGAAUAACUACUUUGACAAGGCCUCAUGAAAAACAAAAGCUGAAAAAGAAUAAUGAUUCCCAAGAACGACCACCAUUGCUAAGCUUCUCUUGAGUUCAACGGCGUAGCGAAGCUAACAAAACUUCUACUCUUGGUUACUCCUACACUACCGUGAAGAAACACCCCUCCGUGUUCUAUAUAAGCAUGUAACAGAAGCACUUCAAAGACACACAUAUGUAGAAAAAGGAAGCACACUUUUUCAAAAGCUUAAUUGGCACAUACAUACUUACACUUGCGUUUUCACUAAAGCUUAGGAGAGGAGAGGUGGGAGGGAUGAUCCUUGGGAUAGCGGCAAUGAUGCUUCAAUGCGUGAUUGAAGUAAGUUUAUCAAUUCAGGACAUGGAGAUUGAGAACAGGCCAUACCACCGCAAUUGCAGCUGCGCGCUGCACAACUUGAAGGGUAUUUGCUCUUGCCCUCCAAAAACGAUUGUUUCAUUCCCCAAGAAACAGCCUUGUUGUUCUCGAUGGCUCAUCAGUACGGAACAAAGAAGACCCGAACGUGCUGUAUCAUGUCACGGACAAGAUUUAGAGAGCUUGUCACAGCAGAGCAACAAGGAAAAGGUCAGCAACUGAAAAGUAACAUCUUUAAUUUAUUUGUUUCGCUCUAUAUCUAGACAUCCAGGUCACCUGGAGAGCUUGAGAUAAAACCGUCUGGAAAGAGGCAUUUGUUUAUUUGAAUCCUCCCAAUCACCCCCCAAACACCUUUUUAUUUACGCCACAAAUUGCACACAAAGAAUACUACUUGUACAACAACCAAGCCUUAUCUCAUUAAACGGGGUGGGCUGUAUGAAUCAUUGAAUGCCACUGCACUCAGUCUUGUGCCAAAUCUUUCUUUAGCUACAAGUACUCCAUAUCCUUUCUUAUAAUCUCUUUCUGAGUCUUCCGUUAGCUACAAAUAUUCCAUUUAUACAGAUAAAGUCUAUAGACUCUACACCAAGUUGGUAAGUCAUCAUAUCAAAACAAUCAGAUUAUAAAUUUAGGACAGGAAAAAACAAACACGCCUGUCUUGAUAUCGAAAAACUCUUCUCAUGAGGAGCCAUGGAAGCUAAGCUCAUUCUUAGUCCUUCCUACCCCAGAGUGGGAGCGAUGAGAUGAAUGUUUCGAUACCUAAUUGAAAUAUCACCAACACAAGAUAAAAAAGAAAAAAAUAAAUUGUAGCCACGCCCCUGAUUGCUCGAUUCAUACUUCCUCUAAUCUGCAGCAGUACUGCGUCACUAAUUAGUGCAUGAAACAUUAGUUCAUCACUAGAAAAUAUAAUCAUAAUUCAUACAUUUAGUACAUCACUCAAAGAAAUAAUUAUACAUUUAGUUCAGCGCUAAGUAAGCUCUGGCAGUUGAGCAACUAACGACGGAUAGGCUGGGGCGACAGACUGGAGUUGCAAAAUGUCAUCUGCAAGCUAAAAGCUCACCUGACAAAGGAAACCUUCUGGCUUUUCCGGUAAGUGCUUAUUUCUCUGAAACUUUCCUGGUCGUACGUGUACAAGAUAUUUAGUUUGAAUUCAUAUCAGUGUGAUACAAUUGGCAAAGGCAAAGAAACUUAAGCACAUACGCAAGCAAGAUAUGAAUUAUAACGAAGACAUGAAUAUCUGACACAUCACAAACCUUUUAAGUUAAACAUAAGAAGCUGAACUAAAUAUAUGAAGUGGAUUCUUCGUAGUUUCGAGUUGAAGGUGGUAACUUAUGUUAUGUCUUACAGGUUUCGUCAUUGGAAGAAUUUUUUUCGUUUCAUUGGGUCAGAGUACGAGAGUUCAAUUGGCAAGGGAAGAGAACCGUCCUACUGGUGGAAGCAGAACUCCUCCUACUUUAUCAUACCCAGGACCCAGCAGACCUAGCAAGCCUUGACUCAAAACCCUAGCAACCCUUUACUUUGACUACAUAAAAAGGAGUUCGGAGAGAAAGCUGCAAUCAAUGGGAUAUUUCUAAUUCUCUCUUCCCGAAUGUAAGAACGUGAAAUUUUAUGGGUUAAAAAAUUGAAGUAAGGAGUUGUUGAAAAUCUUAAAACGGAAAGGAAUUUUGACUCUAUUGGAUUAAGAAAAUAAUUUACUCCAUCCUUCAAAUACUAGAAUGAAUAUCCGACGAAGUAAAACCAUCUUUAUCAAGAUGAUAAUUUGAACGGGUGAUUCAUGAAUGCAGCCGGGUUGGACCGGUCAAUAACUCGAAGGCGUUUAAUUUCCAUCGAACAUCUAUGAGGAGUUGGCAAAUCUCCCCCGAACCUCUUUGAGGGGUUUGUAAAUUUCCACCGAACCUCUACGAGGCAUUUGGAAAUUUCAACCGAGCCUGAUCCAGCGUAAUAUCUUUAGUUUCUCACCUAUAAACAACUAACAUUGCAUAUAGCCUUUAAAUCUAUAUGUUAAUUUGCUCUUCAAAUUUAAAUUUCUAGACUUUUUUUUUUUAAAAAAAUAAGUCCUUAAAUCUACUUUUGCAAGUCACGUAAUUAAAUUUCUAGACUUUUUUUUUUCAUCAGCAGUCUGUGUCACAUCCCGGCCCGGGGUCCACCACAUCCCAAGCCCGCUCUACCGCCGUAGCACAAUAUUGUCCGCUUUGGGCCCCGACUACGCUCUCACGAUUUUGUUUCUGGGAACUCACACGAGAACUUCCCAGUGGGUCACCCAUCAUGGGAAUGAUCUCGCACGCUACUCGCUUUAACUUCGGAAACCCGAAGUCAGUGAGCUCCUAAAAAGUCGUGUCACAUCCCGGCCCGGGGUCCACCACAUCCCAAGCCCGCUCUACCGCCGUAGCACGAUAUUGUCCGUUUUGGGCCCCGACUACGCUCUCACGGUUUUGUUUCUGGGAACUCACACGAGAACUUCCCAGUGGGUCACCCAUCAUGGGAAUGAUCUCGCACGCUACUCGCUUAACUUCGGAAACCCGAAGUCAGUGAGCUCCUAAAAAGUCGUGUCACAUCCCGGCCCGGGGUCCACCACAUCCCAAGCCCGCUCUACCGCCGUAGCACGAUAUUGUCCAUUUUGGGCCCCGACUACGCUCUCACGGUUUUGUUUCUGGGAACUCACACGAGAACUUCCCAGUGAGUCACCCAUCAUGGGAAUGAUCUCGCACGCUACUCGCUUAACUUCGGAAACCCGAAGUCAGUGAGCUCCUAAAAAGUCUCGUGCUAGGUAGAGAUAAGAAUAUACAUAUAAGGCUUACAUGAUCCAUUCCCUGGGCGAUGUGAGAUGUUACAAUCCACCCCCCUUAGGGCCCGACGUCCUCGUUGGCACACUUCCGGCCAGAGAUGACACACUUCUGGCCAGAGAUUGGCUAUGAUACCAAAUUGUCCAUCCCGACCCAGGCCCCCACCACAUCCCAGGCUCAACUCCACCGUAGCACGGUAUUGUCCGCUUUGGGCCCCGACCACGCCCUCACAAUUUUGUUUCUGAGAACUCAAACGAGAACUUCACAGUGGGUCACCCAUCAUGAGAAUGCUCUCGCACACUACUCGCUUAACUUCGGAGUUCCGAUGGAACCUGAAGCCAGUGAGCUCCCAAAAGGCUUCGUGCUAGGAAGAGAUGAGAAUAUACAUAUAAGGCUUACAAGAUUCAUUCCCCUGGACGAUGUGGGAUGUUACAGCUUGAUCAUACUUUCACACUUAAUAUUUCAUCUCUAAACUCUAACGGUGAUGAUAAAUAACUUAUCAAAUAAAUAACUUGAAAGACAGAUGGCUAAAUUGAAGGUUUGAGCUUUUUCCCGAGUAUUUAAUUUCCGCACUCCAUUUUUCUCCUCUGCAUUUCUCUAGUUUAGUGUCUGCAGGAAGUGCCUUCCGAUGGUUCAGAAAGCACUUUCUAAGAGUCAAUUACUUUAGGAAGUACUUCCCGAUACUACAUAAAGCAUUUCCAAAUAUGCACUUUCAGUUGCUUCUUUAAGCACUUGUAGUUUAAUAAAAAAUUCAAUGUGUCUAGGAUAAAAGUACUUGUAGCAGAAGCGCUUGUAAACAAAAAAUGCUUGCUCGAGAAGCAAUCCGAAAGGAGCCCUUUAUCACACAAACAAAUGACUCCUUUAGCAGAAAACAAGAUUGCGGAAAACAUUUCCCAUUAAUUUUGGUCUGCUUUGUUUAGGUAUGGAUGUUGUGACGACCAAAGCUGCCAUACCGACCUACAGGCCUUUGGAGAACAUACACCAAUUCAACGAUUUCGCCGAGUUUUUGGGUGACGGGAGAGCUGGGAAUGCUCGAGCUCUGUGGAACAAGCCUCUCAAAACCGUUUAUAUCAGCGGUUGAGGUGAGCUCAAGGUGGCAAAGCCUUCCCUUUCUCCUAGUCUCCCUUGAUCAUUUUACGUACAUUGCAUUUGCAUAUAAUUUAUAUAACUGUUCAUAUUGUUCAGUUCACAUAUUCAAUAUUUUUGUUAAGAGCCUUUUGAAGUUAUAAUUGUACGUAAACCUUGUUUCUGCAAAGAUUUUGUAAUGAGAACGUACUGCUGCUUAAGUUGUGCUUCAUGUGUUUCGGUGAGAGCCUUCUAACAUUAUGGAAGCCUCCCUUUCUUGUCUUAGAUAGGAGGGAAACUUACCUACUACAAUGAGGUGAUAGUGGCAGUAUUGAAGCCUAUCAGGCCUUGUCGUGUGUUUUAACAUUUUCACUGUGACGAUGCGUGAUUGGCCUAAGAUACCACCGCAUCCUACCUAGUUAGGCAACAUAGCAUAAUGAACAUUACUAAUAAGAACAAAGAAGCAUCGGUCUAUGUUAUAGUUUGAAGAUACCUUAGAUGCUAUUGUUUACACCAACUUCAUAUUGGUUAGUUGUAGAGUUAUGAUAUCCACAUAUCAUUUUUACCUCCCGCACAUUCUUCUCAAUUUUUUGUUGUCGGCUUGAGUGAAAUGAAAAAGAUUAAAUGACAUAAAUUAAUAAGGGAUAUGUAAGAAGUAAUUGGAUUGAGCAACGCCAAUGGUAUGUAUGAAAUGUAUGUACGUAUGCAUGAAAUGCAUCUACAUACAAAAACAUUACUUCCCAAUUGGGUAGUGAUGUUCGCACUUCCGUUUUCUCUUUUUGCAAAUGCUGGAAAUAUCGGACUUGGAAUUGGAUCUGUUUUUGGGCCUCAACCCGGUCCAUUGCAGCAAAUAGAAAAGGAGACUUCAUGUAAGUUGGGCUUGGCCCUUCAAGUAUAAGGAAUCAGUUCGUCAAUUGGCAAAAAAAAAAAAAAAAAAAAAAAAAAAAAAAAAAAAAAAAAAACGAAAAAACAAAAGAAGGUGAAAAAGAAACAAGUGAUGUUUAUGAAGGUAGGUGAAUUGGGAGGAGGAUUCUCUCGGUGGACCCAUCUCAAACUUCUACGAACUUCUUCCACUGAAUGGAAAGGACACCUUGGGCCCCGCAGUAGGAAGGCCCAUUGGAAAACGACGAAUAUGUAGCCCUUCUCUCUUUCGGCCCAAUAGGGCGCAAGCAAAUACGGAGGGUGGGAACCACGAGCAGCCGCACGUGAAGGGGACCUGCAGCGACUUCAGCCGCUAGCGCCAAAUUCAAUCUGACGACCGAUCAUCUACCACUGUUGUUUCCCCUCCUGCAGGUGGUCCCCACCACCUCCCUUCUGCUGCUGUACGAACAGGGUUCUCAGACUGUGCGGCGGGUAUUCCCAGGUGGUCCAUAAAACGUAGGGACGACAUGUGUGCUCGUACGGGUUUGAGGUCACUGUGCGUAGGGUAAGGACUAACUGACGACCCUCUUGAGGAGGACGUCCGAAAAGCGAAGGUCAUCGCUUGGGGAGUGUGGUAAACCGUCCCUCCCGUGUAAUCAGUGUCGUUACAUACACCAAUCAAAUCUAACGACUUCCCCGACAUCUGUCAACCAUAGCCACAUUUGCACGCUCUUUGAAUUUUGAUUUAUUAUAGGGAUUUUUUUAGAGAACUUCAACAAACAGUUUAUUUUAACGAAAAAUUAUAUUUUUACAUUAAAAAAUCAAUCUUAUUACUAUUUAUUUUACCCUUUUUUUUUGUUAUUAUUGUUAAAAUUUAAAGCUUUCAAGCAUUUUUUCAUUAAUUUUCCUAAUUUUUUAACGAAGAUUAAAAUUUAAAAUAAAUGUGGUGUUAGAUUACAUAUUUAUUAUAAUCCCUUGAUGUGUCCUUAAUUUUAAAGGAAAACUAAUGAAAAGGGCUUGAAAACUUUGAGUUUUAAUGAUAAGGACAAAAUAAAGGGUAAAGUGACUAGUACCAUGAUUGACUUUUUAGUGUAAAAAUGUGGUUUUUCGUUAAAGUGAACAGUAACGGGAGCUUUUCGUUAAAGUUCCCUAAUUUUAAAUAAUCAAUGUGCAUUUUAUCUAGUGUCUUCCAUUAAAUAUUUAAAUUUAUUAAUAAACAAAUUUUUAUUUAUUUUUUGACCAAAAAAAGUUUUUUUUUUUUAAUUUAUUAAUUUUAUUUAACAUUCUUCAAACUUGAAAGACUCAAUUAAUGUACCUAAGGUCUCGUUUGGCAGCUGGGACUGUACUGACUAUUUCUGUCGGAUAUGAUAAAUAACCACCGGACAGUACUGAUUAAAUUAGUCAGACAUUUGAUGCAGUAUCGGACUAAGUUUUCCACUGCAAUUUUAGUCAAGAACCUCUCUGCAAAUACACCAUGUUUCUUUGCAAGACCCAGUUGCAGAAGAAGCCCAGAAACAUAUUAACUAAACAAAAAUCCACAAACUACCAGAAUAAUCGAUUCCUGUUCGUCGGAAAAACAAGAACAGAGGGAAGGCCAAUGGUUGGGCGCACAAUUGGUGAAUAUAUAUAUUUUUUUCUUAUCUCCUCUUUGCUGCAGAUUCAGAUGGGGUAUUUGUAACAUAUAGAAUUCCAAUAAAUACAACCCCACGAUUGGUGAAUUAGUGCUGCUAUUUUGGGUCAAUGGUGAUUUGGCCAACGGUGAAGAACAGAGGGAGGCGGAAGAACAAAGGGAGCGGCAGAACCUGGGAAGACGAAGAAAAAUGAAAAGACGAAGUGGGAUUCAAACGAAGAAGAAAGAACUUGAGAAGACGAACCUGGGAUUCAAGAGAGCAAGAGUGAGUCUGAAGAGGAAUGAGAAAGCGACAAAUUUCAGCCUGACUAAAUUGUACCGUGGUUUUGGACGGUAUAAGCAAGCGGGUAAAGACAGGAUAAAAAAGGUGGGCCUAGGUUAUUUAAUCCGGUGGCUAUUUAAUCCAAACAGACACCAAACAUCGUAUUUCGUAUUAUUAGUACUAUCCGGUAUCUUAUAUGGUGUGCCAAAUAGGGCAUAAAUGUUAGUACCAAAAUGUAUUAUAUUGAACUAAUGUAUUUAAAUGUUAAUACCGAAAUGUAUGUAUUGAAUUAUAUGCACCGAAAUGUAUUAUAUUAAAUUAAUGUACCUAAAUGUGGGUACUGAAAUGUAUGCACCGAAAUGUAUUCAUACUGGUUGGUUGUAGAGCUGUAAUAUCUACAUAUCCUUUUUACCUCCCACACAUUCCCCUCGAUUUUCCGCUGUCGAAUUGAGUGAAAUGAAAAAGAUUAAAUAACAUAAAUUAAUAAGGAGUGCGUAAGAAGUAACUGGAUAGCGCAAUGCCAAUUGUAUGUAUGAAAUGUAUGUACGUAUCCACGGAAUGCAUCUACAUACAAAAACAUUACUUCCCAAUUGGGUAGUGAUGUUCGCACUUCUGUUUCAGCAAAUAGAAAAGGAGGCUUCAUGUAAGUUGGGCUUGGCCCUUCAAGGAUAAGUAAUCAGUUCGUCAGUCGGCAAAAUAAUUUAGAAAAAAAAUAUAAAUAAAAAGUGAAAAAAGAAAAGAGUGAGGUUUAUGAAGGUAGAUGAAUUGGUCGGACAAGAUCCGAAGACAAACAAACGUACGGUCUGGAUUGGGUGGACCCAUCUCAAACUUCUACGAACUUCUUCUGUCUCAAUGGAAAGGACACCUUGGGCCCCGUAGUCGCAAGGCCCAAGGGAAAUCUACGAACGACGAAGAUGUAGCCCUUCUCUCUUUCGGCCCAAUAGGGCGCACGCAAAUAGGGAAGGUGGGGACCACGAACAGCCGCGCGUGAAGGAGUCCUGCAGUGACUUCAGCCGCUAGCACCAAAUUCAAUCUUACGGCCGAUUAGCUAUCACUCCUGUGUCCCUCCUGCAGGUGGUCCCCACCACUUCCCUUCUGCUGCUGCUUUUUUGUACAGCUGUACGAACAGGAUUCUCCGACGAUGGGGCGUGUAUUCCCAGGUGGUCCAUGAAACCUAGGGACGACACGUGUGCUCGUACGGGUUUGAGGUCAGUGGACAGGGUAAGGACCAACCGACGAACCUCUGACGAGGACGUCCGAAAGCGAACGUCAUUGAUUGGGGAGUUUGGUAAACUGUCCCUCCCGUGUAAUCAGAGACCGAUCAAAUCUAACGACUUCCCCCACAUCUGUCAACCAUACCCACAUUUGCACGCUCCUUGAUUUUUUAUUUAUUAUAUUAUCCUCUUCUUAAAUCUUGUUUCCAGACUAGAAAAAUUUAAGUAGGACAACUUAAACCAGUUUAACAGUUAAGCACUCUCACGAAACAAUAAAGUUCUACCGCAUUCGGAUAUCAUCCGGCUUCGUACAGGGUGCAACCUUUAAACCACCCAUCUCACUUCUUUUCAGUGUGAUCUUAUCAGCGGUCUGAUCAUACUUUUAUAUUUAAUAUUUUAUCUCUAAAGUCUAACGGUGGUGAUAAAUAACUUAUCAAAUAAAUAACUUGAAAGACCGAUGGCUAAAUUGAGGGUGCAUAAUCGUUGCAUGUAUUUUACGACUAAUGAUGAUGAAUCUCGCUAAUUAUUGCAUAAAAAAGUGUCUUCAUAAUCUUAAAUUUAUGAUCACAUGUUCCAUCUUUACUAAAUAAUUAGACAUUAGUUACCCUACACAAUAGUUACGUCAUUGUGAUAUUUUAUGAAUGUGUUCGAUGUGCUCAUCACGUUUUUUCACAAUAAAUUAGACUCGUAUUAGUGCCUAAUCACUAUCCAUUAAGUAAUUAUGCCUACAUUCAUACGGUUCAAAAAAUCCUUACCAAGAUCAACCUAAUUGGGUUGAAAUCCACUCACCACCUAUGUGGGUAAAUCAUAUAAAUAUGAGUUUAAUUCGGUCCGAAAUUAUUAACAUCUUGAAAAACAUAUACUUGCGUCGAGUCAAACACGUAAUCUCGAGUAUAGACAUAAUUGACAUAAUUGCCCCACCACAAUCUUAUCGUUUGAGUUCACACGAAUUACUCUAAUAUAUAAGCUAAACCAUGAACUCAUCAUGUGAAUUUAUUAAAUAGAUUGGCAGAUAUUGGAUAUAUUUUUCAGUGUGUCUAAAGUACAAAGUAAAACAUCACAUGUUAUUAUAUAAUUAGUUGGAUGUUUGAAAAAAAAAAACUUUCCUCUAAUUAUGUAAUGACAUGUAAUGUUAUGACUCGUAUUCCGAAUACAGUCAGAAAUCUAUCCAAGAUAUUGCCAUAAGAUUUGUUGUGAUUGAAUAUUUCAUUGAGUGACAUCUUGGUAUUUUGUCUUGACCUUAAAAACUUCCAUUUGUCAAGCGUAUCUCAAGCAUUAAAGCACAAGAAAAGAAAAGUUGCUCCUUCCCUUCCAUACUUUCCUUUUACUUUCUUGUCGACCAACUUCUUCAUUUUUAUGUCUUUUUAAAACAUAUAUUGUUGAAAAUAUUAAACAUCUCGAAUCAGAAAAUUAACAAAAUUAAAUAUGAUGAGCGUGGUUUAUUUCUCGCUACAUCGAGUUUUUAGUGAUAAAAUUUUCACACUUAAAAAUGAUAAGAUGCGAGUUGAGGAACAAUAUCAGUGUAGUUAAUAAUUAAUCGCUAACACAUCUUUUAAAAAUAUAGACAAGUGUAAUUUCAAUGUCUAUAUUCCCUCCACCAUACCAACAGCUGGAACUUCUACCAAAGUCAUUUAAGAAACUUCUUACACACCUGAAAAUUAUAAGAUUCGAGUUGAGGAACAAUAUCUAUGUAGUUAGUAAUGAAUCGCUGCCACAUUUUUUUUAAUAUAUAGACACGUAUGUUUUCAAUGUCUAUAGUCCUUCCACCAUGCCAACAGCUGCACGUUCUGUCGAAAUCAUAUAAGAAACUUCUUGCAACAAUACAAAAUCUAUGUGUUUGUGCGUAUAUAUAUGGCUCCAAGAGGUUGGUAAUUGUUUAAAUAUCUUAUUUAGAUAUUAUUUUGUUAGGGCAAGGCAAAUAGUUUAGUGGAAGAGACAAGAGGGAAAGCCCCAAGGGUUGAAGUAGGAAGCAAUCAUACCCCACAAUACCACCAAACGGUCCAAACACUCCAAACCAAAAUAAAUGAAUCAAUAUAUCCUAUGUCCAUUUCACCACUCUACGUUUUGUUUUUGUUUUUUAGCAAACGUUAUUGUCUGCACUAAGGGAGUAAAAGAGCGAGCUAAGCCUCAUAAUAGGUUAGCAAUAAUAUGGUUCAAAUUUACCUUUGGCGAGAUUCAAACCUAAGACCUCUCACUUACAAGUAAAAGAGAAUACCACUAUAAUGAAUUGAAAGAUUUUAUUAUUUAACCGAGGUUAUUAUCUUAGUACACUGACCCAAGUUGGGGCUGAAAAUUUUGAUUAUGACCGCGAACAUUCAUUUAUUGAGAUUUUAUUGUAAUGCUUCUUUACCUUUCUCACACUACCACUCAACCAUUCUAUGUUCCUCACUUCUCCCAGUACUAAAAAAUAAAUAAAUUCAGACAAACGUUAUGCAAGACAACUUGAUCAACUGGACAGUCACGCUCUCACAAUGAAACAUACUCUAAAUUAGUUGGCUACAAUUCGGCCCGACGCAUAUGUAACUUUCAAUGAAAGCAUUCACGCGUAAUGUAUGGGUGACCUGACCAGUUAAUCAGAAGAACCUUUGAACACUUUUUCAUUAGAUUAGUUUUUUUUUUUUUUAGGUAAAUUGUCAUAAGAUUAAUCGAUACAUAUGCUAUAACUUAAGUAGAACAAUAACAUCGAGUAACUUGUGCGCGAUGAUCACAAAAACUUUCGAGUAUGUGUCACACGAUGAAAUAUAUACUAAUAAAAGUGUUAGGUACUUGGUUUUAGAUUGUGCCUAGGAUGCGCCUGUGCACCUUUAUCCACAUUUAUGGCUACAGGCUACAGCUACACCUGCUGCAAAUCUAGAAGUCUAGAAUUCUUAUUACAAUCAUAAAUAAUCAAUCUUUGUCUUACUAUUUCGCCACGUGUCCAUCAAUCUGGCCGUCCAAUUGUCUUCCUCGGUCCUCACGCAACCAAAAGUCGUCUUCUCCGUCACUCUCUGCAGACAGUAGGACUCCUCCUUGCUUAAUAACACAUUCAAGUUUCAAACUUUCAACAAACCCCACCUUCUUUCUUGACUCAAAAGCCGCUUUUGGCUUUUCCAAGCCUCGCUUUUCCUAUAUGCACUGAAAAAGCCAUAAGCUUUAAGCUCUUCUCUCUGAUUUCUCACAAUUCAACUCGCAAAAAUGGCGUUUCAUCACCAGCAGCAGCAGACCCCUCACGAAAUGGCGUUCCACUCCUUCGCGGAGGACCAGCCGCCGCUCUCCGGAGCUCUGACGUGGCUCAACAACGCAGCUUUCCGCCAGCAGAACACCAGCUUCGGCGGCCUCCACGACGCGGGGAGAAACGACGACGUGGUCAUAUCGCCGUCCGGGAAGAGCAGCAGCUGCAGCGAUCGGAACCGGAGGGAGAUAAGCGGUUACGACGGCGGAGAAGAGGAGGAGGGGGAAGACGAGCUGGAGUGCGAGAGCGCGAGGUUCAAGGCCGACAUCGUGGGACAUCCUCUGUAUGAGCAGCUUGUGUCGGCGCACGUGUCGUGCUUGAGGAUCGCUACGCCGGUCGAUCAGCUGCCAAGGAUCGAUGAGAAGCUCUUGCAAUCGCAGCGCGUGGUCGACAACUACUCGGCGCUCCGAGCCAAUGGGGAUGUUGGAGUCAUGGAUGAGAAAGAACUUGAUUUGUUCAUGGUUAGCACUAAUUAAAUCUUAAUUAAUUUUUAAUUCCAUAUUAUUGAAAGUUUAAAACAUUUUUAAUUUCUGGAUAUUUUUAGAGUGUCGUGUAAUUAGUUGAGGUGGCAGUGAAGAAUCAUGUUGCUUAAUUCUCUAAUUAUUCCACUUUACAAGUGCUUUGGAGAAUCUUAAUCCUUUAAUUAGUAGUUUGAUUAGUGGCAUGUCUUGGAAUUAGAAUUUGUUCUGCAAAUCAAUCUCUCCAAUUUCUUUAUAAUUUCUACUAUAAUAUUAAGUCUAAACAUUUAGGUAUGUAUCCAGACAAUCGAAUCCUGGUGCGUAGUCUUGCUCGCCUAAUCUGCUGACGCCUAGUUCUUCCUUUGCUGUUCUCUUUCUUCUGUAAAUAAAUUUAGGCUUUUUAGCCAAAAUGUUCUUGAGAUUUGCAAAUCACAUUACUUUGGUCUCUGAGAUUGAAAAUCAAUAGAAAUGGUCCUGAGAUUAUUCACCAUCCAUUAUUUUGGUUAUUCCGUUAAAAAUUCCGUUAAGUGUUUAGGAGCUCUUGGCCCGAAGUUUAAGCAAUUUUCAAAGUUUUGUAACUCAAUCUCAGGAACCAAAAUGAUGUUUUAUGCAAACCUCGGACCAUUUUAGCUAAAAAGCCAUAAAUUUACGUACUUUAUAAAAGUCACAUUGUAAUUUUGUAACAAUCGAAUCCUGGUGCGUAGUCUUGCUCGCCUAAUCCGCUGACGCCUAGUUCUUCCUUUGCUGUUCUCUUUCUUCUAUAAAUAAAUUUAGGCUUUUUAGCUAAAAUGUUCUUGAGAUUUGCAGAACACAUAAAUUUAUGUACUUUAUAAAAGUCACAUUGUAAUUUUGUAACAAAAUGCUUUGGUUACGAUGUUGGUUGAGGGUCUAGCAUAACGAGAUGUUCAUAAUUUUGUUAAACUUUCGGUUUUCGUCAUCUGAUCUUUGCUCGUUGUGAUUUUGUAGACGAAUUAUGUUCUUUUGCUUUGCUCCUUCAAAGAACAACUGCAGCAGCAUGUCCGAGUUCACGCAAUGGAAGCAGUGAUGGCUUGUUGGGAGCUUGAUCAGUCUCUGCAAAGCUUAACAGGUAAUUUUUGUUUCUUUAGUUUCGAUCGUCCCAUAAAUCUUGAUCCUUUCCUCCCCAUUUCGCUGCCUUUAUCCGAAAAGUAGGAGACAGGGAAAAAGGACAAGAACAUGAAUGUUACUUCCCAUGUGCUAAACUGUUUUUGGUGUGUCCUAAAUGUGAGCAUCGUUUAUAUAAGGCUGCCUAAUAGUUGUUCUUUUAUUGCCCUUCCCCCGAAAAAACUAUGUUUAACUCUACGUGUUUAGAUAUCUGCGAAAAGAGGGAUUUUGCAAUAGCGAAACCAUCAAAACCAUCGACAUUGUUUCCAUUGUUAUCGUGAAUCCUGAGGUUGAGUUUGAGGUUGAUGUCAGUGUCGCGCUGUUAAAGACUUCAUCGGUGUGAAGAGGAAAGACGAGGGCAGAAGUUGCACUGACUUAAGUUUUUUUUUUUUCGUUGAGUCUUUUAGCUUUGAUUAGUGUCAUCACUUUGGAUUGCCUGUCUCUAUAAAUUCGGAUAUAGGAUAAGACAUCUUGUGUAGUGUCGUCAGUUGUUAUUGCUCGUUUUUGGUUGCUGAUCGUGAUCAACAUUUGUUUAUGGAUGGUUUACAGUUAAAUAUUUUAAGCUGCUUUCACAGGUGUAUCCACGGGUGAAGGAACGGGUGCUACCAUGUCCGAUGAUGAUGACCAGUUAGAUAGCGACAUCAACUCCUAUGAUGGAAGUCUGGACGGGCCAGACACCAUGGGAUUUGGCCCUCUUGUUCCGACUGAAAGUGAGAGGUCCUUAAUGGAGCGCGUAAGGCAGGAACUGAAGCAUGAACUGGAACAGGUACAAACUAUAGACUUACAGCGUAUAUAUACAUUUUCGGUGUGGACAAUUAGUGUAGCUGAUAACCUCUGCUUAUUAGGGUUACAAGGAAAAGAUCGUCGACAUUAGAGAGGAAAUUCUGCGCAAGAGAAGAGCGGGGAAACUGCCAGGUGACACAACUUCUGUCUUAAAAUCUUGGUGGCAAUCGCAUUCCAAGUGGCCUUACCCGACAGUGAGUUUGAACUUUGUUAUAAUCCCCUUGAAGCUUUCAGUUUAGCAGAUUCUUUUGUAAUAGCUACUAAUUAAGACGCUCUUUCGCUUCGAUAGGAGGAAGACAAGGCCAGAUUGGUGCAGGAAACAGGCUUGCAGUUGAAACAGAUCAAUAACUGGUUUAUUAAUCAAAGAAAAAGGAAUUGGCACAGCAACAUUUCAUCGACUUCCGUUCUCAAGAGCAAACGCAAGAGGUAGGAUUACGAUUAACAUAAUAUGGUUGUUUUUUCGAGUUAAUUUGUUUCGUAAACUUCAUAUAAACUUGUCUCAAUUUGUAAUUUGGAAAAAAAAGUAAUGCAGGUGACAUGAACAACCAACGAUUGAAGUAAAUGUCAUGAUUUUAGUCGAAAAUCUAGCAACAGAGAGCAAGGAAUUUAAUAUUUCUCGUACAGUAAAAGCUUCAAGCCUUCAAAUGGUAUGCUGCCCAUCUUUGGAUCGAUCGCUUCGAGUCUGAGGCACCCCGACACUAUCCAUGUCUUAUAGUACCAUAAUAUCAUCAAACUCUAAGCAUGUAACACGAAAAACUCGAACCAGGUAGCCUUAAUGUACUACGUUUCAGUGGAUCUAUGUAGAUUUUUUGUAUACCGAUCGCAUAUUAAAUAAAACGCUUGCUUUCUAUACAUAUUUUUAUGAAUGAGAAUGUCUAUGAAGAAUGUGAAUCUGUAAUUUUAAGGCAAAAAAUACAACUGAAAAAAGAAUACAGAUUGUUCUGUUUCUUACAGUGCAAGAAAACCUAUCGAAAAAGGAAACAAGGCAGCACAGACGACACUGAAUCCGACCUCUGGAUUCUACGAAAGCUGAUUCAUCGGUCCUGCGAACCUCUCUGCCUAAGGAACCAUCUUCAUUGGUAAAAGGGUCAGCGAACCUGCUGAAGCCAAGAGCAGCAUCGGCUUCUCUGCCAACACCUUCGUCGAAAUUGAGAGCGUAACUAUCAAUGUCGUACGACGUUGCUUUCUUUUGCUUCUUGUUUCGGCACAACCUAUUCUUAGCCUCUGUCAGCUUCUUCUUCCACCAUGUUGUCUCCUUGAGCCGGCCUCCGCCUUCUUGCUGCACCAAGUGUUGGCGUUCGUGACCAUUGUUGUUGCGUGAUCCAGAAGUCCUAAAACAACCACGAAAACCGCAAGAAGACGUAGGAGAAGUAGAAACAUCCAUAUCUGUUUUGUGUUCGCGAAGUGAACCGUGGUUUGACAUGAGCACGGUUGGUCUAGAGAGCGAGAGAAUCUGUGUUGAGAGACUUGGAGCAGAAGGGUGUUAAUUUAUAGGGGAGGGGAAGGGAAGGGAAAGGGAUACAAGAGAAAAAGGAAACAGGAAAUAUGUAUACACACACACACACAUAUAUAUAUAUAUGGAAAGAAAGAGUUGAUCAAUACUUAACAUUUAUAGAUUUUCGAGGAAAGAUUUGAUAGGGUGGUGUAGAUUUGUGGAAACAAAACAGGGAAUUCCUAAUGCAAAUCUUAGAGGGAUUUCAAAAUGCCAGGAACACAGAACUAAACACUACAUCUCAUUAUACAAUUGGAAUGACACUUGAAAAAAACUUUCUCCAAUAAUAUAAUGACGUGUGAUAUUCUGUCCUGUGUUCCGAACAUAUUGAAAAAUCUCUCCAAAUCUUCAACAUUCCCCGCCACAGUUGAUAUGCUCACCAACGCGGUGCCUUAAACAUUCCCCGCCACAACCCACACGCCCUAAGAGACGACGACUUGCUAUUGGUCAAAACAAAAGAAACGAAGACAGACCCCAAACAUGUGGAGUGCCACCGUGGUAUUUUGGAUCGAUAAUGUAAUAUUAUGGCAUUUUAAUUUGUUCUACAUCGUUUUAUUAUUUUGGAAUGUCAUGGUGGCGUAAACAAUUGCAGGGAAGUAUCUGUAUCCCCCAUAAGAAGUAAACAAUAUUGACAAAAUGUCAUGUUAAAAAUAACUACACAUAAUAUGCGAUUGGAGGAGUUCUUCUGUCUGGACCAUGUGGUUGACCGGCCAAAUACUCAUAAGAUGGGACGAGAAGGGGAUGAGUAGGCCCAAAAUACAAAAGGAGUGGACCUAUAUUCUCAUGUAAUUGACUUAAAAUAUCGUUACAGUGACAUUUCUGUUGUAGGUAAGUUUUUCCCAAAAUUUUGUAAUCGAAACCAAAACGUUUCUAUUAAGCUUUGGCGUGGUAGUAUUUUAGAUGUUACUGACAAUCUAAGUGAUCUUAAUGUCCAAUUCUGAAGUUCAAUUUAGAGUCUUCAUUAGACAAUUAUACUUUAUGGAUCUCAUUUUUCAGUGCAACUGCAAAUAGCCAAGUAACUUCCCAACACUUUAACAAGGUUUAAUCUUUGUUUCGAUUACGACUCGGGCCAAUCGAACAUGUUCCAUUUAACCCUAAUAUGUUACCAGUGUACAAAGUGACGAAACAACAACAAAGCCUUAUCCCGACAAAGAUUAAGCUUCGAUACAAUCCAAUGAUAAGUGCUUGUACUGAAGUUGGUUCAAAGGUAAAACCUAUAUGAGUUGAGACUUUUAUAAGACCAAUAUGUUUCUAUAAAACAAUAAAACAACUUCCCCAUCACUAUAAAGCAAAGCAAAUAUUAAGUUUAUCUUCCAAGGGCUCGAAACACAAAGGUACCGGUGCCGACGCCGGCGAGACAUCGACGAUGAAGCAACUUCUAAGAUCAUUUUCGAGCCUGAGACUAUGUUGCCGAGGGUUGCUGCGGUUGGGUCUGUCCUUUAGGAGGAACCUUUGCUGCCAUGGAGCGUAAUCCGUUCGCAAUUUCAGUGAAACUCAGCCUCUCGGACGGCUCUGAUGACCAGCAUCUCUCCAUCAGUGACUUCCAUUCAGGAUCGCAAGAGUCCGGUAUUGGUGGCCGCAAUGUGUUGCUCACAAUACCACCUGCAUUAACAUAUGAACAGCGGGAUAUCAGCAUCUCCGAAUCUGAGUAAAACCUCAAGGCGCCGAGCAUUGUUAACAAGUGCGAAGUUGUAUUGAGCAGUAGAAGAUACCUAUGAUAGCACCAUAGUGCAAAUCCGCAUAUGGUUCGUCUCCAGUGAGCAGCUCCCACAACAUGAUACCGAAAGAAAACACAUCGACCUAUUGUAUGCAACAAAAGAGGAGGGUAAAGAGCUAAGGAUUAAAAACAGGUCUAAGAAGCGAGUCGCAAUCAUUUGAGACGAUUUAGAAUAAAUUAAAUAAGAAAGCACAAACCUUCUCAGAAACAAGGCUACUGCUACCAUUCAACAGCUCCGGUGCCAUCCAUGGAAGUGUUCCCCGCACACCACCGGAGAUCAGCGUUUGACAUUUCACCUUAGAUAGGCCCAAAUCACCGACCUGGCAUCAGAAAGAAACCAGUGAACACAAUAUUCUAAACACGUAAACGAAUUACAGUAUGUUACAUAAGAAGCAUCUUAUAAAGCAUGUCAAUGAAAAAUAUGCGUUUUUGAAUAAAGAUGCUGCAUUUUAAACAAGUAUGUGGCUUAUAUAAGAAACGAAAGAUCAAAUCUACCACAAAACGAACCAGAAUAUGCGAAUGCAAGGAGCAAAAUAAAGUCACUACCUUGCAUAUUGGGCGGUGUGGAUCUCGAAGAUUGACAAGUAAGUUGUCACUUUUCAAAUCAAAGUGUACUAUCUUCUUUUCAUGCAGGUACUCCAUUCCGAAUGCCACAUCCAUUGCAAUCAUGAGGCGCUUGCGCCUGUCCAAACUCCUGAUAAAAUUAAAUCUGUGUCAGAUUUUUAUCCCAAUUGAAAAUUACGGACAACAAAAUGCCAAGCAAAUACAUUACUUCUCAUUUUUCUGCAAGGCAUUUCUCAGAGAGCCGUUAACCAUAUAUUCUGUCACUGUUGCCACAGAACCUCCGGGUCCGUCAAGCACAAUCCCAUAGAAAGCUACCACAUUGGGGUGGUGCAAGUCAGCAAGCUUGAUAGCCUCAUUCCAGAAAUCAUCUCUCUGUUUGAAUACAUAAACCACAACAUACGAAUUAAGUAAAAGAGUUAUGAAUGAAUGAAAGCUAAAAGUUUUAGAAACUAGUGUAACAAAAAGACAAACCAUGCGCUCUUGUUCUGAAGGCUUCCCGGAAAAACACCUAUCAUUGAUUCUUUUGAUUGCAACAUCAGUGCCCCUCCAUUUUCCAUGAUAAACGGUACCAAAAGUUCCAGAACCUAAUUCUCUCAUCUCUUCAAGGUCACUGUUCUUUAUAAUCUGCCAAAAGAAAAAGAAAUCGGUCAAUGGUACAUGGUAAUAUCACAACAUCACAAUACAUACAUAUUAAUGGAAACCAAAUUUUCACCUGCAACCGGCCUAGGCCAUCUGCUACUGGAAAACCAAGAUUUGGCUUAUCUGCAAAGUUGGAUUUGACAUCCUAAAAUAGGAAGCGGAAGUUAGAAGAUAAACAACAGGAGAGCCUAGAAUAUUUUUUCAGAGAGGGAGAGAACACGUACAAAUAAAAAAAAAAGGUCGUACCCAGUGCACAAGGCUCCCGCUUUACGCAGGGUCUGGGAGAGGUGAAUGUCGGCUAGCCUUACCCCCAUUUAUGGAGAGGCUGCUCCCAAGUCUCAAACCCGAGACCUACUGCUCAUGGGCGAAGGCACUUGCCAUCGCACCAAGUGCGACCUCUUAGAGACACGUACAAAUAAUAAAAAAAAUUCACACAUGUACAUAUAUGAAUUCUUAAAUACCUCACUUUCUGUUCUGUUUUGCAUCCCUGCAGCAUUGUUUUGAACCUCUUCAUUUCGAUUGGUUGCAUAAGCAGACUCAUUUUUAUCAUGCAAGUAAGAAUCUGAUGGCGUAGAUGACUGAAAAACACAAGCAGCUACUCCCUCAGCAACAGCUUGAAGUUCUUGCUUUAUUUGUUCUUCUGCUGAUCCUACGACAAAGAAGCAAAAUAAUAAGAAAAGUUCAUAUGAAAUAAUUAACUUAUCUAGAAAGAUCAUCACUUAACUAACCUUUGGACGACGGGGCAUGCUCUGAACUAAGAUCCCUGUUCAAAUUGCCUGGUGGCUGUUGGCCUCCAUCGUCCAUUCGCAUUUCUGUAUAUGGUUCUUUUCUCAAUUGUAUUUUGGUUGGCUUAGGAGGCAAUUGAGUAUCCUGGCACAAACUCCAAGGAUCUUGAUUGCUGAACAGUGAGUUUGAGGAGUCCUGGGCACCAAAACCAUUCGAGGUAAUACCUUCCCUCUCGUUAGAUACCAUCUUGGGCUGCAAUCUCAUAUUCUCAUCCUUCCAUUCAGGAGGAGGUUGAAUUCCAUCAGUGAGAUGGGUCAAAACAACAGGGGUUCCAUAAUUAGAUUCGUAAGAAUCACAAGGAUAUAUUCCAACUCUUGAUUGCAGAUAAGCUUCAGGAUUUCCCCAUAUAGAUUGUUUUCCUAAAUCAUAGAAUUCUGCUGGCUGUGAACUAUACCCAUGUGAGACUUCGGCAGAGGGAGAAGCUAGUACUUCGGUCGGGUUAAAGUGAUUCCUGCCUAAUUUGUCAACGAGGUUAUCCACAGCCACCUCUCUACCCCCAACUUGUGCUGUUUUGUGAUCAACGUUGUCUUCCAUUCUAGGUAUAUCCCAAGGUGAUUUACCAUGCUCCUUGUUAACAUAAAUCUCAGUGGGAUUUAUCCUGAGUGUUUCCAUCCUCCCGUCGAUUUGUCUCAAAUUAUCAUAUGCAGUUGGAGAUUCACGAACCAGGCAUUCUGAAGUUUCAACAGGUGCACCUCCAACAAGAGGUACAUCUUGAUUAAAAGGAUCGUUACCUAAAUUUUCCUGUUUAACCUGGUAAUGAAAUGGUGUUGGAUGUAGUUGAACAACAUCGUCUUGACAAUGCUUAGGAAUACUGACCAUGAAUGCACCAUCUGGUGAUUGCACAUCACCUCCUCUCUGGAUAACGCCCUGUGGAGAUGAAAUCUGAGAGAGGCAAGUCACAUCUGAAUGAGAUGUUACGAGAAGAGGAUCUACUGGAAUUUGAACCCUAGGGCGAGCCUCAACUCCUUGGCCAAAAUUACCUUCUCCCUUGUUCAUCGGCUGAGCUCGCAAAUUCUCCUCCAGCCGAGGACUAUAAUAAGUUGGACUUGAAUCAGAUACCGGGCUUCCGCCAAUGUCUCUCUGAACCUGUACCACAGUAUCAGAAUGUGCAUGAGGCAAUGCUAUCUGACACAUAUAACAGUCCUGGAACUUUGUGGACUUCUCGGGAUACACUUCCUGUUGGUGAGAUACCAAUGCAUCAUGGUAAAUCACAUGCUCUGGUGAUUGAACUUGAUGCCAUCCAUAAGCACCUCCUGCUGUUGUUGAGGGUACUUGAACCUGAUAGGAAUUAUAGCUUUGUUCAGCAGGAAGCUGGACGACCUUGGGAACAAAGGUACUCUCGCCUACAUACUUAUCCAACCGGGUCUGUUGUGGAUGGAUCAAUGGCUGAAGCACACUUGGUCUUAUAUUAACAUGAGAAGUCGAGGGAGUCAUUGUCAUGUGCACUGCAGGAAUGAAGUGAUGCGGGGUGAUGCCAGCAAUACUAUCACCGUAUUGCUGUUUGGUGAAUACAGGACCAGCAGUCCCCAAUAGGUGAGGACUUGGGAAACCCAUCUGAGGAGGAAGCUGGAGAUGGUCUGCCCGUGUAACAAAAUCUUGGCGAGGACCAACAUAAGUUUGCAGAUAAGGAGCAGUAGAUGAAAUGCCAAUUCCAGGUUGCUGCUGUGAUACUGUAACAGGCACAGAUCUUUCUAAUUCACCUUCCGGAUGAGAAGAUGGUGUUUGGGGAGGCCCAGACUUAACCACAGGAAUGACCAAUGGAAUUGUAGAAACUUCAGAAUAAAUUGUAGGCUUAGGAUCCACAAAUACCAGCCUUGUACUAGCAUCAUGAGAAGUAGAUGAAUCCCUUUUCGGUGAUAACUUGCCCGGUGAUGGAAGUCCAGUAUUGUCCCCCUGACCAGGAACUGAGUUAUCAACAACAUCAGUUCCACUAAAAUCAGAAUUUUGAGUUGAAGUUGCACUUGCAUUGCUCUCCUUCCUCACGAUACCAACACUCACCCCAUCCAUAAUCCCAUUGACAGCAUCAACAUAUCUCUGCUCACUAUUAUGUAAAUCCCCAAUUUGUACGACACCAGAUGGAUCAACUUCAGAAGCAGAAAACAAAAAUACCCUCAACUUUGCUGAACCAUCUGGAGAUCUCUCGACCAACUUCCCAUAUUCAUCCUUCAUAUUGUCAAGAUCAUCAGCACAUGAAACCGACACCAGUGCAUCGAGAUCCUCAUCGGGGAGCUGGUAUUUAAUGACCACAGGUUGCCCAUAUGUAUCCACCAUCUUCUGCACUAGCUCAUUGAAGCUCACAUCUCUCCGAACACUAAUCCUUGUCUGCCCUCCAACAUACCUCAACAUUCCAUCACUUGGUCUGGGCAAAAUCUUUCCGCCAAAGCUGCACAGAAGCUUUAUUUUCUUCCCAUACACAGAAUCUUCCCCACCGUCAUCACUUGCUUGUUCAGUCCCACUCCCACGACUGCCCAAAUUGGCAUUGUAACCAUAUCCCGAUGUCAAAUCAUUCCCAGUCUGAUCAGCAACAUUGCCACUGACCUUAUUGCCUAAAUUGGGAUUAUAACCGAACCCAGCUGCCAUAUCAUUAACUCCAUGAUCUAGACCACUGCCAGCACUCCUAUUAAACAUAUUCGAACUACAGUCAGAAGGCCUAGAAGCAGUUGUUGUAGUAUCAGAGCUUACAAGAUCAACAUCAUUUCCGCCGACCCGACUGCCCAAAUUAGGACUGUAACCAAUUCCAACACCAACGCCAGGGUUCACACCUGGAUGUCCCACCGGCACAGCAAUGCGGGGGCCAGGGCACCACGGGGGCACCCCCGACACGGCAUUUCCAUACCCUAGGCCAACAUGCCCAGCCUCCGAGGCAACCGGUGCUUGGUAAAAAACAGGUAUUGAAUGAGGGCUAUUAACUUCACGAACUGGGUGGCUGGGGAAAAAUCCAUCGGGGUUUCGAGCAGCUGUAGUAGCCUGCGCAAUGCGGGGUUCUUCGGCCACAGUUCGAGCUACAUUUAACUGUCUCAGUUCUUUGGGAAACGAAUUUUGAUCAAACGCCAUAUCUACAAUUAAUUAAAAAAAAAUUCAAAAUUCAAUCAAGGGUCUGCAAAAUCAAUCCUAAAUAAGAAAACCCACGAUCAAAAUUCGAUAAAGCUAAAAUCUUUUCAUCUAGAUUGCGAUAAGCUAAGGUCUUUUCAUCUGGGAUUUUCAUUUUGUUAAUUCUAAUUUAAGUACUGAAGCUUUUCUAAUCAUCUGCUAUAAACCCUAGCCAGAUUGCACCAAACUAUAACAAAAUUUUACAGCUUUAUAUCCAAAACAGGGGACAAUAAACACAAAUAAUUGAACAAAAACACACACACAGAGAGAGAGAUUAAGUACCAGAUUGAAACGUUGGCGUUUGGAGGAGAGAGAGAGUGUGUGGAAGAGAUAAGAUGGAGGAGAAGAAAAAACACAGAGAGAGAGAGAGUCCGAGUCGGUGGAGUGCAGUUUCCAAACUCCGAAGGAAUCAAAGCUCACAGUGACAAGCGUCCCCUUAGCAGCUCCUUGGCACUUUCUCGCUCUAAAAAUCUGGUCCUUUUAUUGUUCCAUCCAUCGUUGAAUAUUUUCCGUGGUGGGAUUUUAUUUUCUCGGGAAAAUGAUGUGUUUGUGAGGAAAAUGGCAGAGUGGCUGAAGAGAAAAAUUAUGGUUUUUGGUUUGAAGUCUUGGAGAAGAGAGAAGAGAGAAGGUGACGGGGGAAGCCACGUGGAAUGUUUCAUGCAAGAUUAUGAUUUAUCAGUAAAAAAGUGUAGUAUUAUGUGUUGUUGUUGGGAACCUAGGAGUACUUUAUUUUUGAUAGUGACAUAUGCAAAUAAUAUAUAAACAUAUAUAUAUAUAUAUAUAUUUUUUUUUUGAAUUUAAUGGCCUUAUCGAUGAUUCUUUAAUAUGUCGAAAAUAUAAUCUGGUAUAUUAAGUAUUAUGAUACAAAUAAUUAAAUAUUUAAAAAUAUUUUAACUAUUAAUAUAAUGAGACUUGAUAUACCAAAUUAUAUAUUUAGUGGGCUUAAAAAUUUAUCGACAUUGUGGCAAGGUAGGAGAAGACAAAUACAAAACGAAAAUCUUGGACGGUCCUUCAAAUACUACAUUAAAUUAUACUAUGCAUACAACAUAUUAUUUAAUUAAUAAUUUAUGAUAGAAUUGUUGGUAGUAAUUUCGUAUCUACUUAUGGUUACUUAUUUUAACUGCAAUCAUGCCAUUUUAAUCACAACUUAAUUGAAGCCUUAACUUCUUAUUUUUGUUCGUGAUCAAUCUUUAAUUACUUUGAUCGCAUGAUCAUGGUCAAUAUAAAUCAUGAUUGUUUUACUAAUUAGGGUUUCAAUCGUUCAAUUUUAUUUAAUUUUUUGUUAAUACAAAAAGUAAUGAAUAUUAAACACAUGCCAUUAGAAAAUUAAAAAAAGAUAAACAUAAGUUAUGAGUUUAUGUUAUAGCAUUACCACUGUUUUAAAAAUUCUGCCUAGUGCUAUCAAGGUCAUGUCUAGGCUCUGAACGACAAGCGACCACUUUGAUGAUUCAUAGACGAUUGAAAAUUAUGAAAAAACGCCUAGACUUGUUUAAGUAACUAUUCAUACUUAAGAGUAAAUUAUUAAAAGAAAAAAUGUAUGUCUACAUUCGACGAUAGAACUUACUGUAAUUCUUAUGAACUAAAGUAUUUACAGUAAGAAAUAAUUAAGUUAAUGCAUGCCAUAGAUUGUUGUAUACUAUAACUUACCGUAACUUUUUAUUUAUCCCGAAAUUGCUAACUUCUUUCCUGGUCUGAAUAGGGUAACUUCACAAUAAUUGGAUAAUUCUUGGUCCACUAUAUUUUUCUGGAUUCAUAUCGACCGUUUGAAGGACAUUUUCGACUUUCAUCGAAUCGGUGGGUGAUGACACAUCAUCAAAACUGGAAUUGCGAUCCUCUGAAUUUCUGUGUUCGAGAUUAUAUAUUCUGAGAAAUAAAACUAUAAGAAAUUUUAUUUGAACUUAUAUAAUCUCUUUCAAACUUUAAAUAUGAAUUGUCUUUCUUACUCUAUUGCAUAAUUACCGUCAGGUACAAGAUUAAAUGAACAAUAAAACCAAAAUUUAUCAAUAGACCCAUAUAUACCCAAUCAUCAAUCUACUUCUUGGUACCAUCUGGGAAUGUGUCGCGCCUUCAUCGCACUAGCUCGAUGUUACUUAUGAGCUUUUAUAUGCUUAUGUUAUUGUUUAUGGAUUCGAAGCAACCAAGGAUUCUUCAAACUUCAGAACACAUGAAUGAAAUGCUGAUUCAACGGACCAUGUGAAACUUUUGGAUUUUGUACUAAAUAUUGGAGGGAUUGGCUGAUCCAAUUUUGAUCAUUUGCAAAAAAACGCAUACUGAUUGAACAAAAAAUAAAAUAAAAACAUAUGGGAUUUAAAUAUUUAAUUUUUUUUAAUCAUCUAUAUGGGAUUAAGCAAAAUCAACAGAUGAGAUUAAUUAAAACAGAUAUGGGAUUGAGCAAAAUCAGCAAAUAGAAGGAUUACGCAUGAGACAAAUAUGUGGGAGAUAUUGUUGUCUUUAUGCCUUGAAUGAGUUUCAAAACACGAUUUUGGUUUUUUAUUUUUUAUAUGGGUGUAAAGAUAAAUUUAUGUAUCAAAUUGUGUUUGUGAGGGUAAUUUAGAUAGUAAGUUUGGGUUUAAAGAUAUAUUAAUAAUUUAGUUAAAAAUAAUAUGGGUGGAGGGAGUAAGUUGAAUGUAAAAAAAUGUUGUAUGGAUUCAAAUAAAAUUUCUAAAACUAUUCAUUUUAAACUCUUAUUAUCACACUAACUCACUGCACACAAAUAAAGCAUCUGAAUCUCUCAUACUAACAAUCCAAAUCCCUUAAUUCUUGGCUUUCUAACACCAGAGAUUCCGAUAGAUUUUCAAUUCUCAAAACUGGGAGGAUAUGAGAUAUAUUUUCCUUGUUUUUUAUAAUUUUUUAAAGGUAUAAAAAGUUCAACAUCAAAGAGGAAUAAAUCUUAAUUUAUAAGAAAAGGUGUGACAUCCGACAUCGCCCAGGGGAGUUGAUCAUGUACCUUAUAUGUAUAUUCCCAUCUCUACCUAGCACGAGGCCUUUUGGGAGCUCACUGGCUUCGGGUUCCAUCAGAACUCCGAAGUUAAGCAAGUUCGCACGAGAACAAUUCUACGAUGGGUGACCCACUGGGAAGUUGUCAUCUGAGAUCCUAGAAACAAAAACCGUGAGGGCGUAGUUGGAGCCAAAAGCGGAUAAUAUCGUGCUACGAUGUGGAACGGGUCUGGGAUGUGGUGGACCUCGGGCCGGGAUGUGACAAAAGGAAAGAGAAAAUAAUAUGGAAACUAACAUCAGCUAGUCUUUUACUUGUUUGGAUGAGGUUGGCCCAAAUUCUUUGCUUGAUAUUAAAACAAAAAGUAAAUUAAACUUCCAUACGCGGUUUCAUUAUUCUUUUUAAGAUUGACUAAAAUUCAAGAAAGAAACAUAUAUUUUGGGUAAAGAAUGAAUGUUAAAAAAGUUAAGCAUUUUGAGUUACGACUUUGUGUCUCACAAAUCACAAACAUGUUCACCAUUGAGUGUUAUGUGGUUUGAUUGGAAGGAAGGCAAUUUCUAUGAAAUUGAAGAAACUUGCACCAAACAGGUUUCGAGAAUUAAUCCUAAUUUUAACACGCAGAGAACUAACCUUAUUUCAAUAGAUAAGGAAUCCAAGUUCUUCUGCUAAACUUUAAGGCAUAAAAUACUAAAUAUAACCUUACAUAUUAAAAAAAAAACCAAAUUAACUUUUCCAAAAACAUGAGCACGAUGUAGCAAUAUUCCAAACCUAUCAAGCGGCAGUAUGUGUUGGUAACUUUUCGCGUAAAGUAGCUUUAUUAUUCUGGACCUUGACAUUUUUCAUCUAAGUAUUUACCACCGAAAGGCUCAGCACCAAAUUAACGAUAUUAGUCAAACAAAUUCGUGUCGGUAUUAUAAAAGUACACUAACUAACCAAUCGAUAUUACAUCAUGCUUAUGUGAUUCUGGUAUCUAUGGCGCACUGAAAGUCAGGUAAAAGAAAGAGAUCUGUAUAGUACUUGGCUCGAUCGUCUUUAGCAAGUAGAUAAUCCUACCCCUGUUAAGUUGUCGUUCCUCCAAUAAGCAACAAGGACGUGAAACCCUACAUUUUUUACUAUAUGUAUCCUUCCAUGUUUGAAACACCCUAAUCAUUUUGCUAUAGAUAAUAGAGGUGUGACAACGAUAAGCAUCCCAGUACGUAGUGAAGAAAAUGAGUUUCAGAAUCUGUCGUGUUUGCAUGGGCUAAUUGGUCCUGGUCGGCCAUGCUUUGUCGGUUUUAUGCAGAUUGAUUCUUGUCAUUCAUGUUUAUAAAGACGGAUAAUUGAACACGACUAACUCUAACAAUUCUCGAGAAAAUAAUUGAUUAAUUGUGGGAUUGUGUGAGAUGGAAAGUAGACCUCAACUUGCAUUGUUUUAUUUAUAACAUGUGCCCGCGCGCGCGCAAUAUGCCCUAUUGGCUGCAGCGUAGAGAUAAAUUUAUAGUCCCAAACAGUUAGGACAGUAGUAGGCCAAUAGAGGAUAAAGAAGUGGUGAAUAAACAACUGGCACCACAUGGAUGGAGACAGUAUAGUUCCCUUGUGGGAGAAAUCAGAACAUAAUUAGCAAACUAAUCGGUAGUGUAAACAGUAAUUCAGCUAGCAUAGAUUUCUCCUGAUCUGUACAUUUGACCAAUCCUAGGCUCCUAGCUAUCUAGUAAAUCUCAUGUUGAUGAAUCCGAUGAUGUUCAAUAUUACAACAAACGUAGAAGAAGGAUCAACAAAGUGCAAGUGCAUUUAAUUAACUAAUUGCUAUUUAUAUGUUUAAUGAGAAAUGUUAAGGAGACUCUCAAAAGUAAAACUAUUUGUUAACUCUAUGUCAUCUCAUGUUUUUGAUACAAUGUUUUAUAAUAUUGACACGGAAAUUGACGUUAAUUAAAUUGUCAACUGUGAGAUGACAGAGAUUUCAUCAAGAAUUAAUCUCACUUUGAGAGAAAAUCUCCUGAGCAUUUUUCAUGUUUAAUUACUAGGUUAGGAAUAUUUAGGAAGGUCAUGAUCUAAUGAACAGUUGAAUAUCAGAGUGCGGAACAAACAAGAAGAACAAAAUAAUAAGAAUUUUAUUAAACUAACUGAAUGCCGAAACGGCUACAAAAACCCUAACAAGCUACAUUGUGAAUAACUUAUUUCGAAUGAAUAACAAAUCACUCUAUUUAUAAUAAACUAACCAUAAACCCUAAUGCUAACGGGCUAAGCCCAGAAAACAAAAUAUUAAAGUAAACCUAAAUACUAAUAUUCUACAACACCCCCCGUCAAACUCAUGGCGGUAUACGACAUGGGUUUGCAAACAAGCAGAUGCGGACUGGCUCUGUUAGGCGGACAGACAGACAGGCAGGCUCUGCCGCAACGCGGACAGACAGACAGGCAGGCUCCGCAACGCGGACAGACAGACAGGCAGGCUCCGCAGCAACGCGGACAAACAGACAGGCAGGCUCCGCAACGCGGACAGACAGACAGGCAGGCUCCGCAACACGGACAGACAGACAGGCAGGCUCCGCAACACGGACAGACAGACAGGCAGGUAUGCAAACUUGACUUGACUUGACUUGCGAACUGGUGAACUUGCGAACUUGACUUGACUUGAUUCUUGACUUGACUUGACUGGCAAACUGGCUAGAGUUGAGAGUAUGGAAAGAACCCGUCACUAAACGGACGAGGUUUCCAUAUCUCAAUUAUACCAACAAACAACGAAAACAAUUCCAAACAAGGCAACCAACAAUUCUUGCGGGCCUAAAACAAACUUAAACCAUAUUUUUGACUUUUGCCCGUGUGGGCCUAAAAAAAAAACUCCAAACAAUUUUUUUCUCUUCUCUUUUUUUUUUUUUUUUUUUCCUCUCCUUUUUUUCUCUCUUCUUCUUUUUUCUUUCCUUUUUCUCUUUUCUGCUGGGCUUCUUCAGAACUGCAGCAACAUGUUUCUUGGUCUUGUGCGGCGGUGAGUUCAUAAGGCAGUGCAACAAGGAUGUGAUGAGCAGCGGCAACCUGGGUGGAUGGUGAUUGGGUGCGCGGGACGACGGCAAGGGAUCUGGGUGCAGGUGCAAGCAGGUUGUUCCGGUGGCAGCGUGGUGGUGAUCUGAUGAAGAAACGAUGGCUGGCAGGUACGGUUCAGGCAGAUGCGAGUGCAGGCUGGUGGUCUGGUGCGAGAUGGUGGUGCGGUGGUUUAAGCAGGCGAGGUGCAGGGUUCAUGUCACAGGGAACUGGACGCAGUGGAAGGUUCAGGUUUUUUGUUUUCUUAUGCAAACUAAACCAACAACAAAAAACUAGCAUACAAACUGACAAAUAACAUACCAACCCGACCAAGCAGAUUAAAUCCCAAAGGAUUGAACCUGCUCUGAUACCAAGUUGAAUAUCAGAGUGCGGAACAAACAAGAAGAACAAAAUAAUAAGAAUUUUAUUAAACUAACUGAAUGCCGAAACGGCUACAAAAACCCUAACAAGCUACAUUGUGAAUAACUUAUUUCGAAUGAAUAACAAAGCACUCUAUUUAUAAUAAAUUAACCAUAAACCCUAAUGCUAACGGGCUAAGCCCAGAAAACCAAAUAUUAAAGUAAACCUAAAUACUAAUAUUUUCCAACAUGAACUGCCACAUAUUUGGCCGGGACAAAAUCGAAGUAGCUAGCUCUUUCGUUGUUUGACAUCAUCUACCUCAGGGUGCUUGCUUCUUGUUUUGCAGCAGCAGGAAUUGCUUAAUUAUUCGCUGUCAAAGUAUCACGAGUUCUUGCAGAUGUGAGAGAGUAGCAACAUUAACAAGAACGGAUGUGCUCUCCUAUGUUGUUAUGCACUUAAGUUAAAUAUAUUUUUCCUCACAAUUAAUAAAAUAUCAGUCGUAUAAAACCAUUGCUUUAUUUCUUUACAAGGUUUUUAACCAUCCUGGAAAGGCCACCUUUUUUUUUUUUUUAUAAUUAUUAUUUAUUUUAAAUACAAGACAAUUUAGAGUAUGGGCAUUAGCCAUUUAACAUUUUUAGACCCGCCAUAUGCCAUUUAAUAAUUUAGAGUAUGGGAAUUAGCCAUUUAAACUACUCAUGUGCCCCCUCUCCUUCAUUGGAUUGUAGUAUGGGCAUCGUCAUCUUCAUUCACUACUUACGCCCCCUCGUAGUAUGGUCGUCUUCUUCAUUUACUAUUUGCCGUAUCAAAUCUGGGCCUGGGUCGACUACGUACGCGUGCAUGCAUGCAUGCAUUAAUGCGUGAAAAUUGAGCAAUAGAGAAGCUACGCGCGAAUUGCAAUUGUAAUGAACUACACAUGCUGGGAACUUCUGCAAAUCGAAUUGAUGGGGUGAAAUUAAUCAUGCAAACUCAUUCAGAUUCUAUUAAAUUUCUUUAUUAUUUGAAAUUUUCUGAUGAUCCAGUGAUAUAUAAUUAAGUUAUUCCCAAUAUAUAUAUACUUUACAGCAAGCAUUCAUUCCCAAAUUUCCCAGCCAAAAUAUACUUCAGAUUUAACCUAAUUCAGAACUAAUCGUUCGCAAAAGAAAAAAGUUUGCAGAAAAAUAAAUUGAAGGUAAAAAAAACAUAGCAACAUUAGUAACCGUGCCAAUAUAUACACCCCCAUGAAAAUUAAUUAACAAACCAUAUUUACGUUUAUGUGUAUUAUGAAACCCAAUGAUUAAUUAAUUAUUAAGAACGGAUUAAUUGCUGAGGUCUUGCCUUUGGAUCAUACGCUAGCUGUAGGCAGUUAUCUCCUUGGACGCAGGGGGAGAAGCCACAGAGUCCUGCGAUGUUCGAGGCGGCGAAUGCGGUAAUCGGGAGGAGAAUCCCAAGAGCGGGUCAUCCUCGAGGUUGGACUCCUCGUGAUCAAAGUUGAGGGCGUAGCUGAGUGCGUCAUAUUUGAAAUCGGCUGAAUGAUGCCUCCGGCCCGCGCGGCCAUGGCCAUUGCCACGUCCAUGCAUGCGCCCAAUCCAAUUUCUGCACUUGUCUUUCAAUUCUGCAAACUCGUAAUGAUUGUUGUGGUGGUGGUGGUUGUAAUGGUGUUGGGGGUGGUGAUGAUGCCUAGACCGCGAGGACCGGGGAUUAGGGGAGAAUGAGGAGGUUUGCACGAGGCUGACAUUAUCAGCCUCAUGCGGAGUGGGAGGCGCCGUGAGGGCGCCGUGGUGGUGAGCUUUAGGAGUAGGGAAGCAUGGGAUGAUGCAGAGGGAGGAGCGGAGCUUUUGUUUGAGGGAGUUUGGGGAGCAGGGUUCGUGGUGGUUCUCCAUUAUUUUGAUUUGUGUGGAGAGGUUAGGGGUGGUGGUGGUGGUAUUUGUGUUUUUAUUUGGGAGGAGGAGGAGGCCCCGUGGAGAAGGUGCAAUGACGGAUGAGGACACGUAGAUUUCCGGAAUUCAUGGGAUGCUUUUGGGGUUUCUGGUCAUUUGACGUUGUUCAGAGAUUAUCGCUUUUUAGGGUCUUUUUUAUUUUAUAUUUUUUUCCUUUCGAUAAAUCUGAAAACCAUGUUGGGCCAGAAUUUGAAGGUUAAUAUUGUCGUCCAUUUGCAUGACUUAUGGGCUGGGCUCGAAUACAAAAUUGGAAUGUGAGCUUGAACAUAGCAUAGAUUUUAUGGUGUGAUUAGUUUUUCUUGUUGCCCAAUUAAGAAAACUACGUGCUUAUGAGAUGAGAUUUGGUGCCGAUGUGGUUAAGCGAGUUGAUUUUUUUUUUUUUGGUCAAACGAUAAGUUUUGUUAGAUUAGUCAUUGAUGGGGUUCGAACACACGCUAUCAUGUAAGGGCUCAACACAUUUUCAUCAUUGUGGUAAAGAGCCACUUGUGUUAAGCGAGUUGAUUAGGACUGUGUUUUUUUUUGUACAUGAGUUCGAAUUUUCAUUAUUAUAAGUUAAGAUUAGUUUAGAAUAUCACAUUGUUGGACAAAAACAAAGGAAGAUUUGAGUAAUCCAUUUGAAUUUUUGUUUAUUAAUUUUCUUUAAUUUAUUCGAUCUAAGAGCUGAAGAUUAAGAAAAGUAUAUGAAAGAUAAAAAUAAGUGUCUUUUAAUAUUAGUUUGUAUGAUCCUUAGAACCCAUGGUGUGUUCUUCCUCACAUGAUAAGAUCUUUGUCCAUAUCCUUUGUGUAGUAAAAUAUUGUAGAAGUGGGGUUGGGGUUGAUACGUUUGUAUUGUUUAUUGAGAGAAAAUAUACUCACUCCUGACAUUUGUGAUUCUCUACACCUUGUCUUGUUUUUAACUUUGAAAAAGAUUCACUUCUAUUCAAUUUUGAUAUUAUUUAUUGAUAAAUUUGAUCAUUUAUGAUAUAAUUUCUUUAAAUAGUCGAUUUUAUAUGUGGGGUAAGACGCCAUUUGUGUGUACAAUCAAAUUGACUUUCAGGUUAUAAGGACAAAGACGUCUCAUUAUCACAAUGAAUGAGACCACGUGGAUUGGAGAUUGGACUUACGUGCGACCCGAUAAUACCCUCAUAUAAUGCAGCCCGUUCAUUUGUGAGAGUGUCUGACCAUCUAGCUGGUCAGACUGCUCUACUCACAAUUCUGAAAUAAAAUUUAAUAGUUAAAACACCUGUUUCAUUGAAGCCAAACUUUUCCCCCUCUUAAUUCUACUUGAUUCAUUGAAAUAGUGCAAAAAAGAAUGUGCAAAUUCACUACCCUUUUUACCUAAACACAAAAACAGAAGAAAUGAAGUACUCAACAAAACCAUUCACUGCAGCCGAGAAAAGACAUUUUAUUUACUAGAAAGCCCAAUGAAACAUUACAAGAAGAGAUUUGGUUGAUCACGUGGCUCACCCUUGUCCCUUAAUAAGUGCCAGGUUUUCAGUUCAUAGCAACACGCAGCACCACUGUCUCAUUCGACACACACCUCGUGGACUUGUUGGAAGCUUUCGGUUAAGUUGCACUGAAACUCCCUCAACCUUUCCAUCCCAUGUCUCUCACCUUUUCUUUGUUUUGUUUUGUCUCCUCAUCUUUUACUUUUCUUUUGCUCAUUUUCGUUGAAGAAUAUAGCCCCACAUCGAAAACCUGACUGCAGUAAACACUAUUUAUUUUUGUUUUACCAGUAGUAGUAGUAGGCCGUUGAACCGUCUCUGAAACUUUAACGGUUUUCACUGGUACAUAAUUGAGAGGAGAGAGAUGAAGAUGAUUGAUGCAGAUCGUAUAUACAACCAUCAAUGGUAUGGACCCCUCUUUUGUCUGCCACCAUAUUUUGUUUCCAUCUUAUUGUUUAACUUCCCUCUUCUUCUUCUUCUUCAUUUCUUUGGAAAAUAUUUCAGGACCAAGCAGCUUUUCAUGGUGGAAAAACUGUAUCAUUUAUAAGAGAAAUAUAUACAUAUAUAUAUAUAUAUAGAGAGAGAGAGAGAGAGAGAGAGAGAGAGAGAGAGAGCUACACUUGUUUUCUUUGUCGGUUUUGAGUUGUUAUUUGGAGGUUGAAAUUAAUGGCUGGAAUGCUUCCUGGUGUGGAAUGCGCUCGGAGGAGACGAGUCCAUCAGAGCGGAGAGUCACCGUGCGUCGGCGGCAUCCAUGGCAGCACCAGGCGCUCUUCUUUCUGUUUGUAUGCUAGCAACCAUGAAUCUCACCACACCUCCACCUCUUCACUGGUAAUUCUAUCGCUCUCUGUGUUUUUCGCUCUCUCAUUUUCUUGGAAGCAUCCGAUUUUUCUUACCCUCGAAAAUGAAUGAAUCAAACAAGAAUCAAUCGAGGAAAAGAAGAAGAGAGCGCAGAAGGAGAAACGAGAAACUGGAGUGUGAAAAUCGCUGUCCUACCGAUUUAAAUUACAAGCAAAUAUAAUUUUCUCCUGUUGUAUAUGGAUUAUUUUUCAUGAUCAUUGUUUCAAUUUGCAUGUUUGAAUCAUUAAUAACAGUAUUAAUUUAUUGGACACAAUAGCAAAGAAGCAUACUGAACCAAGCAUACAUGGAUGAGAAGCUGGGAGUGGAAGCCAGAGAAGCCAAGGGGAGAUUAGAUGAAAGACUGAGAACACAAAGAAAACCACAACCCAAAAGGUAAUUAAUUUACCAAUAUGUGGUCCGGCUAUGAAACAAAUUGUUGCUGACACAUCAAUAAUGCCUCGAUAUCCAUGUUAUUGAUGCGUUCUUGACAAUAUCAAUGAAACAGUUGUUCCUUCAUGCACAUAAAAUUUCUUAACAAUAAUGGUUCUUGCACUAACAUACGCGACGGGAAUAAAUUUCCUCUCAUUCUUUUCUCCUUCUGCAAUACCUGUUUAUUUUUGUCUCUCGAUUUUCGAUAUGUUUUAACUAUGUGUUUUAUUAUAUUUGUGAUAAAUUUAGGCAUACUAAUGGUGGUAACAAGGGACUGAAAUGUGUGGAUGGAGGAGGAAGAUCAUCUGUCUUGCUUGGGGAGUUGCAGAAAGAAGUUUACGGAGCAAACAAGAGUAGUAGUAGUACAAGUGGGUCAAAGAAGUUCAGCUGGUCAAAGCUGACCUGGAAGUCAUCGGACCAGGAUGAGUGUGCAGUCUGCCUGGAGAGGCUCAGGCCAGGUGAGACCCUGGUGCACCUGCCCUGUGCCCAUAGGUUCCACUCUGGUUGCAUGGUUCCAUGGCUUCACAACAAUGCCCAUUGCCCCUGUUGCAGAAUGGAGAUUAUCUCCUAGUAAUUGUAUUGGUAAUUUGGUAAAUGCAAAUUGUAAAAUAUAGAUUGAGCUUGCAGUUGCAGUUGUAGAGUUGGUUUGAAGUUUGAACAAUUAACUUUGUGGUGCUAAUUGUUUGGUUACAAUAUGUUUUUGUUAAAGUGAAUAGUUGCCAAGUAGUCUUUGUGUGAGUAGAUAGUUUAUGCAAAUUUGUGGGAGAUUAUAAUUCCACACAUUAAUCUUGAUGUAGGACAAGAUAUGGGUCAAUUCCGACGAAAAAAUAUCAAGAAAAUAAAAUGUUUUAGAGUUUGGAAAGAAGAAUUAAAGUUGGGCUAUAUCAGAUUUAAUUAACAUCGCGACAGAAAAAGUAACAAGAAAUAUUAUCGUGCUAGAAUUGAGAGUAAUAUGUCCUUUUUGAAGAGAAUGCAAGAAGAACAAGACUCAUGGUUAUAAUAUGAGCCCGUCAUGUUUACGGCCAUUCGAGGUUGUUUAAACUCCCAAAACAACAUUUUUAAAGUCUAAUAAAACAACCUUUCAUGUCGUUUAAUUUACUAAGACCCUGAGCUUCCCGAGGGGUUGUGUUUGUGUCUUUUUAAGUCGUUUGGCUCCUAAUGUAAUGUAUCAAUUCAAAAAAUAAUCAAACAACCUUUCGAUUUUAUCCAUCUAUGAUGGAUUCCAAAAACCUUGGUUCUUCAAGAUUUACGUUUGUAAUCCUUAUAUGCUCGUGUUGCGUCAAAUCUCUUCCACAUCUUUCGGGAAAAUGCUUGACUAGUUAUAUGUAGCGUUUCUCAUAACAAACAAAUCUCAAUCUGACUUUUAUAAACGAACUUUUUCAGUUUUUAUUUUUGCAAGUCACUUUAGUAUAUGUGAUAGUCUACAUAAGGAAUAACUCUUUAAUUAUUGUAAAGAGUUAAACAUUAUUCCAAAAUUCUCAAUGAUUUCCAAAUUAUUGAACCAACAUGUGAUCUCCAAUACAAAAUUUUAAGAGGUGCAAUCCCUUUUGUGAAUGAAUGUAAUUGCACUACAUAUCACUAUCCAUCCAUCCAACCUCCCCACCUUGAAAUUGAAUAUCAGAUGAGAGAAAAGGCUCCACUCAUGUGACGGGUGGGACAAGAACAGGUGAAUUAUAGGACAGUCUUUGCUGUCUUGGUCGACCUUUCUCUUGUUUAGUGGAAAUCAUUUGUUCUUGCACUAAUCAAAUGUUAAUACCAAUCUUCGCUUCCAAUUAAGGGAGAUCAUGGUGAGAUCAUAACAACUUAAGUCGCGAAAAAGAUGGGCAGUAGUGGAUCCAUGAGUUUUUCGUUAAUAAGUGAGGUCAUAAAAGUUUGGUGCGGUGUUCUUACUUAAGUAUUUUUUUGGUGGGUUUUUUUGGUGCGGUGUCGCUUGAGCCUUCAGAGACUGAGGAACGAGGAUGGAAAUUGAGUGACGUGAGUGAAUUUGGGUGAAAUAGAGGAUAAGGGAAGCGUACUGAAUGGGACACAAACGCAAACCUAAGAAUAGAAAAGCUAGAAUUCACUAGAGAUUGGGAUAAACCCGAAAGAUUUUUUGUUCAUUUAUGAAUCAAUACAUUACACUGGGAGCCAAAUGGCUUAAAUAGACUUAAUUUGACUUUGGGAAGUUCGUAUCAAACCUUGUGAAGUUCAUAGAAAGUCUAAUGAAAUACAAAAAUAUUGAUUAGAUUGAAAAAUGAAAAGUCUGAUUUUAUUACCAACUUUAAAAUGCUGUUUUGGAAGCUGAAACGACAUCAGAUGGUUAAAAUCUGUUAAGGAAUUUUCAAACCUUGUGAAGUUCAUAUCUUGUCCUACAUCAAGGUUUUGGAUAAAAAUAAGAUUUGCAGCCUUGCUUCAUCCUGUUUUGUUUAGCUGUUGAGUUGGCAAAAUCCGAGUCAUUUUCAUUAAACAAGUUUGCCAUAAAAAUGGAGUAACAAGUUAAGACUAAACCAGAUAAAAGAUUCGGUUCUCUCAAACAAGACCGAAAAAAUAUCAAUAAAAUAUAUUCUAUGCUUUGAAGGUGGAAUGUCAUUUUCUCCUAUAAAAAUGAAGCAUGCUAACUUGGAUUUUAUCCUAAUUUGGGUAAAAUCUUCUUCUUUUCCUACCCUAAUCCUUGUUUUUGUGUCACGACUGGCUAGCUGGAGGUCACUAAAGAAUGGACCCAAUUUAGCUAAUUUAUCUUUGUCUUGAUUAUAUAGAUGGAUAAAUGAUUAGGCAAGGAUUGAUAAACUUUGAUUAAUUAUUCGUUGAUUGAUUGGAGUGACGCAAGAGUCCAAAACUUUUCAAAGUUUUCAAUGUGAUGUGUGACUAAGACAUAACUCGGAAAGGAUGAGCGGCACGAAUAAGGUUUCUUUAUGUCCAAUCAAGACAAUGUCGCGAUCGAAAUUGAGCCGAAAUUACAAGCAGUAUAAAUUUUGAAAAUUAUACAAGUUUUACAGUGUAGGGUUACUAUGUGAAGAAAAAAAAACCACGCUUUUAUAAAACUUUAUUUUUCAGCCCACUCCAGUUUACUGUUUUGUAUUCCUUCAAGUUUUAGUACAUAUUUCCUGGUGCGACAAGAGUUUGUGGCGGUUUUGACGAUCUUGACACAAUGUGGGAAUUCAUAUUUUUUUAUUUUAUAUAUAUCCAUCUUGUGUGGGAUGAGAAUUUAGUCUUACUUCUUGACCAUUUAUCUAUGCUCUGACACUCUCGUAUGUAUAAAUAGGUUCAUAAAAGAAAAUCAAUAAAAAAUAAAAAUAAAAAUAAAAACUUUUGCCAAGGGGAAGGCAGCGAACGACGCCGUUCGGUGGACCAAUUAUUUUCAUUAUUUUGGCACCUUUGCGAAUUUUACCAUUUUAGACUCUUCCCGCAACGGCUAGUUUCCUAGUGACCGUUUUCCCGUCUCCCAAAUUUCAAAUCUGCAAUCGACCUUCAACCCACCAUUAAUCUUCUUCACAUACCGCAACUCCCAGAAAUCUCCUUUCACUUUUCGAAAAACACCCGCAAAACCAAAUCCAAAUCCAAGGCUCUGGCAACUUGUCGAAUUCGAUCUCCGUUAAACCCACUUGGCAAUUCAAAUCAAGGACCCAGAAUUUCAAAAAUGGUAUAUUCAUACGCGCCCGCGUACUACUCCACAAUCCACGACUCCAUGACCUCCCUGUGCAAGUCCAUUCUUCCCUUCAGCUUCAAGAAGCGGCGGUUGCCUGCGGCGGAGCAGAGGCUUUCGAAGCUGCAGUCGGAUAACCUCAAGUGGCAGCAGGACUCUUUCCACCAGAUUCUGAACUUGAUGGGUCUUCACAAAGAAGGCAUCUUGGCUGAGACCGAGGUGUCCGCUUUCCGAUUGCAUUUGCUCGAAACCCUCAUUGCCUCUCAGGUGGCGGAGCACGAACAGCCGGUUAUUCUGAGAGACAAGUUGCUGUUCUUGCAGGUAAAAUGCCAGUCUGCAAUCUCAACUCUUUCCUUUUUUUUUUCAUUUCGAUUGGAUUUUCUUUCUUGGUUUUCUGAGUAACCAAGCAAUGUUUAGGAGCUCUUGUAUGCGAAAUGCAUAUCGGAAGACGAGUACCAUUCUUCGAAAAGGCCGUUGCUGCAGCGAUUAGAGGCACAGGGAGCUGAGAUCGAGGCCAAAGAUAUAAUCGCUUCAGGGUCGCUGCCAGCGAAGGAUCCGAAAGAGAAUACAGAUCAAGAGCAGUGGUCGGAAAUUGACUUGAAGGAUGAGAAAUGCUUGCUAACGAAAGAUAAAGAGGGUUUGAAUUCGAAGAACAAAUCGAAACACAGCUCGGCAGUGAAACAAAUCAAAGGGGCAGCUUCGGUGUUGGGAUUUGUAUCACCUUACAAACAUGGGAAAAACAGGGGAGAAAAGAGCAUAUUCGAUUUGCCUGAUUCGUCAAAAUUCUCUUCUUCCAGCUCUUCUAAGCAUCAAGCAGGAGAUCAAUCGUCGAUUCUUAUGCCGGAAAGCUUGCCACAGGUGCCGGUGAAAGAGAACGGCAGCGCAGAUCGAACAAGGAGGAAACCGUUUAGGAGUCUGUUUCAGAGAGAACAGAAAGAGGGUCAGGGGGAUCAUGCCCACGAAAAUGAACAAACACCUUCGAAAUCGGCCAAAAAGCAAUGGGGUUUUGAUGGAUUCAAGAAAUGGAAGAGGAAUGAGUCGGAGGACGAGACAACUCCGCUGCCGCUAAACGAACGAUCGGAUAGUGAGGCUCACUUGAAGCUUGUUCCAAUCCCCAUGGGUGAAGGGCCAGACACUAAGCUCAUAAAAAGGAGGCUGCUUUCGGAUGGUUCUCCUUCCGAUUUCUUCAUUGACAAGGUUCAAAACCGUAUGAUUUAAUUUCGUAAUUUGCUGGCUUAUAUUUGAAGCAUGAUCCGAAAUUGAAGGUUGUUUUUUUUCUUAUUUUUGUAUGAUCUGAAGGUUUUAGGGGAGAAGAUAAAGAAGGAGCUGUCAAGAAUUCAGUCAGAGCUUUGCGCUUCAAAUCCAAAUCUUCGAUUUACGUAAGCCUUUUGAUGAGUCUUUCUUACAUAUACAUUGGUAUCGAAAAGCAAUCUUUUUGUAUCGAAAACAUACGAGUUUGAUUCUUGUGAUUUGCUCAGGAAUGAACAAAUUGAAGCUAUUUCGACCAGGCUUCCGGUGGACAAGGCUGAUCUGAAGAAGUUCUUUCCCAAGUGAGCAAAUCUUCUCUAACUAAAACCACCGCCCCCUUGUACUUUCUCUCUUAUUUUUCAUUGGAUUUUUGUUUCGUUUUCAGGUCGUGGUGCGAUCGGUAUGGAGAAGUUGUUCUGGACGUGGUGAGGAAAGAGUUCAAGGAGCAUGUUGGGGAGAUGGAGAGCUUGAGAAAUGCGGCAAGAGAGAAACACGGUAUCCACUCAGCGCGAUGGACUGCAUUCCAAGAUGACGAGGAGAAUUGUCACCCGAAUCUCUUUGCUCCGCCGCGAGACAACAACCACAAUUAUACUUCAAAGUUCCAUGAAACCAAUCCGUUCUGUGAUGAUCACAUUCACACCACCCCUAGGAAGCUGAGAUCGAAACCGGCAACUUAUACACAAGAGCAGAACCAGAACCAGAAUCCCUUUUGGAUCCCGGGCACGGCUACUAAUGCGUUUUCGUUGAGUAGCUGCUUAAUAUGUAUUUUGAUUGAGAGAUCGCUUGAUAUGUUGUAUGAACUUUGAGAGAAGAACGCUGUUCUUCCAAGCAUUCAAACUUUAUGUUUGAUUUGUAAAUGUAGGCAAUGUAUUAUCUCCUUCAAUGUUUCGGAACUCGAUUCGCUCCUUGAUUUUUAUUUUCUUAGUUCUUCUCACUCACUAUUUGAAAUCCUCUAAAGGGCCUUCAUGCAAAUAUCCAACACGCGUGUAAUACAAGAAACAAAUCAAUCGAAACAUACGACAUGAUCAUCAGGAGUUGGGGUUACUUGCGAUGCAGGUAAAGUGGUCGAAUUGGAUUGGAAAUCAAGUUAAAAAUCGCAAAUUCGGCAGCAAGAGGAAUUUUUUGCAGACACCUGAACCCCGAGUCGUCCUAACCAGAGACUAUACCUUGACAACAAAACUAGCAAGAUUUAUUCAAGACAUUCAAGUAAAGGCAAAGGAAUCUGCAAGCUUUUGAGCAAAAUGGAAGGUCCGUUACCAAUAAUUCCAGCAAGAAACCCACUAUGUGAAAAAGAUAAAAGAAAAAGCAGAUAACGCUUCACCCCAGUCGUGAAAAGCAAUCAUGCUUAUACACCUUGGGGCGGAUUAAAAGAACUUUACAACAUUACAAAGAACUUAAAGACAUUAUAGCUAUCCUUGGGUUUCAAUCCCUAAAGAACUUCAAGACGUUAUAGCUAUCCUUGGGUUUCAAUGCUCACUGGUCCCCUCGCUCUUAACAAUUAACAAUCUAACUUACUAACGCUAUCGUUUGUCUAAAAAUAAAAGCCAAAAAUACAUAACCAAAAAACACACUAUAAGAUCCCACAUCGCCCACACAGUGAUCCUUAAAUGUAUAUUCUCAUCCCUAUCUAGCACGAGACAUUUUGGGAGCUCACUAGAUUCGGGUUCCGUAGGAACUCCAAAGUUAAGCGAGAAGGAAGCUAGAGCACUCCCAGGAUGGGUGACUCACUGGGAAGUUGCUCGUGUGUUCCCAGAAGGCGUGGUCGGGACCCAAAGCGGACAAUAUCGUACUACGGUGGUGGAGCGGACCUAGGAAGUGGUCCGCCCCGGGCCGGGAUGUGACAAACACCAAGGUAAAAAGGGAAAAUACUGAAAGAAAAAAAAACGAAAAUCCCAGGGUUUGCUAUGUUUGAAGCCUCUUUGUUGAGAUGAAGAUGCCAAUUCAUGCACAUUGAUAUGUAAGUAUCUCGUUCUUUCAAUCACUAUAAAUCCGCAUCAAGGACGGCAGACGCUACAAUAUCGUGGAUUUCGGAAAAAUUCAGAUACAAGUCAGUCUUGGGGGACCAAAACAUGUCCUGGUAGAUGCGAAGAACCAUCUUUAACUAUAUACAUUACUGUGUAGUAUGUACAAUUAAAUCAAAGAGAAGAUAUCUCCGAGUUAGGGACAGAACAGUCGGUGAAACCCUCACGAACAUCUCCUCGGCAAAGCGGGCAAACUCUGUAAGCAGGAAUGAACAGAGAGAAUUUCGGUGAGAAAAAAUACAUGGGGAAAUGAAGGACAAUCAUGAAGGGGGGAAAAACAGAGGAUGGCAAUGACAAUACCCGUGUAUCUCUUUGAGCCACUUAUCAACGCAUGACAUGUGAUACUCGUGAUGGCAGGGAAGAACUCGAAUUUUGUCUCCUUCCUCAUACUCAGCGAGGCAUAUGUAACACCUAUCAAUUAUUAACUCACCAUGAUCAAACAAAUUCAUUAUGCUCCCUACUGAUGAAAUCAUUUAAGUAAAACUUACUGUUCAACAUCAUCCCCGGACUUUGGUUUGUCAACCUUUGUGUGACUUUUAAGAGGAAAACCAUCAACAAGAGAUGCUGGGGCAGGAGCUGAGACCAUCGACAGUGAAAGUGACACAGGUUGGCGGUGAAUCUCAUCCAAAACCUGCACAUCGCACAUUACAACAAAAUUAGGUUUGAUACAUUCAUAAGGUACACAGUAAUCUGUUGUGUAAUAUCUGCCCCUAAGCUUAACCGUCAAACAUAGAUAAAAACUGCGCAAACCAUAUCACAGCCGUUCAACCUAGAUUGGUAAACAUGCAGCCAAAGCCCUCAAAGAGACCUCAAGAAGAAGAAUAUACUAAAAUCAUCGCUGAUUUAAUUACGUUGCUUAAAUACCCUCCUAACUUAAGACAUAUGCAAGAGUGCAGAAAGAAAAUUACCUCAAAUAGAGCUUCGGCGAGCAUGACAAUUCUUGAUAUACUUGCCCGAGUACUAGACUCUUCAGCCAUCAAGAAUGAGCCACAUGAGCACAUGCCACGAGGGUGGAUUCCUGUGGGACAAGAGGUAUUACGCUGGCCAUUAUCAUCAAGGCCAACACGAAGUCUUUCCCAGACCUACAAAGAGUCAUGCAGAUGCAAAUCAAUGAAAAUUACUAGUGGGACCCCAAAAAAUAAAGCUGCUAUAGUUUACGGAUUUCUCCGGCCCGUAAAACAUCUGGAUAUAACACUUCAUAAAGUAUAAAAGAACCUUUGAUGAAUGAUAUAUUUGUAAACCAUGUAAAUGAACAUACACAUAUACAAAAUACAGUUAAGCCCCCAUACUCUCGCAAAUGAAAAAACUCAAUUUUAAGAUCCAAGUUAAGCCACGUGACUGAAACAUCAUAAUAUUUUUUAAUGUUAAAAUCUAUCACCUCAGAUCUAGAAUGUCGCCGUCGUUCACUCGAGUUGGGAAUUCUAUUAGCCCGGUGACCAGAAUCAACUCCAAUUUCAUCAUCAAAGAAAUCACCACUCAAACCAAGCAGCCAUCUGUCAUGAAAUCCCAUAUCCUCGGUAUCAUCAGUAGAGAAAAGAAUGGUUGGUGAAUCAAUAAACCUCCUGGAGCUGCGCCUUGAAAAUGCAUCCCAGAACAGUCGCCUGCCAUUCCUUCUAGCCUCACGAUUACUUGCAUCAGCAUUGCUACUCCUCAAAAAGUUGGAAGAAAUGCUCAUAACAUCAACAUGAAGUACACUUCCAUCUUCCUGGCCUUGUUCCCUAUUGGACACAAGGAAUCCUAAACCAGAAGGUAUUGCCUCCCGAAGGGAAUCAUUUCCAAGUGAGUCGAAAGUCGACGGAGUUUCAGAAACAUUAGCAGAAUCAGUAUCAGCAUUAAAACCCUGUACACCCCUUACGUCAGCCACAUGAUUCUCAACAGACACUUCCUGAGAACGGGAAUUCCGAAUCCCUUGUGGAGAUGAGCUACUUGGAAGCAUAACCUCGGGACAGGUCUCAGAUACAUUCUUGUCUGCUGAAAUGUCAAUGCCAUUGACUGAAUCCACAUUAGCAGAACCAUUCAAAGAGACUGUUUCUGAAGAUUGUUCUUGUCUAAACGAAGUACUAGCGGUAGUACUAUUAUCCCUACAAGAUUGAUCAUGACUAUAAUCGGCACUUACCUGAUGAGGUAUUAGUUCUUUACUUUUGGACAAGCACUUCCCCCGGUUAAUUGUGUCAACACUGCUUAAUCCUUCUUCAACAGUGCUCUCAGAUGAUGAUCCAAUUUCAAUAAUGGGGCAGGUGAACAGUGGUCCACUACUGGAGACCAACGAGGAUCCUUCUCCAGAGUUCCGGACUUGAUUGAUAUCAAGAUCAGAUUGCUCUGCAUAUUUUACACGACACUCAGGUGCGUGAUCUUCCAUCUGCAGGAAAAGUACUGAAGCAAAUCAGUCUCCUUAUGCAAUCUAUAUGACUAUAACUACCAAGUACAAAAUGAUUCACGAAAUUUGAAGGGUAUUGGUAGAAAAGGUCAAAAAACACUAUCAAGGCAUGAAGCAAAUCAGUCUCCAUAUGCAAGCUAUAUGACCAUAACUACCAGGUACAAAAUGAUUCACGAAAUUUGAAGGGUAUUGGUAGAAAAGGUCAAAAUACACUAUCAAGGCAUGAAGCAAAUCCGUCUCCUUAUGCAAUCUAUAUGACUAUAACUACCAGGUACAAAAUGAUUCACGAAAUUUGAAGGGUAUUGGUAGAAAAGGUCAAAAUACACUAUCAAGGCAUGAAGCAAAUCAGUCUCCUUAUGUAAUCUAUAUGACUAUAACUACCAAGUACAAAAUGAUUCACGAAAUUUGUAGGGUAUUGGUAGAAAAGGUCAAAAUACACUAUCAAGGCAUCAAUACAACUACGUAACACCACAGUUCUUUGGCCACCAAAAAAGGUAUUAAACUUACGUUUCUAUACUGUCCAUCAUAAGAGAUGUGCAUUUACUCCCAAAUGAACACAAGUAACACAAGAAUAAAUAACUUCAGUUAUACGCUAAAUAGACUAAUGCUAGGUAUCUCAACUUCAAACCAACACCAAGCAAAAUUUCUGCUUCAUGACUUCAUGGAAAUAAUAUAUUGAGGUUGUCAUCACAAGUGCAUCGCAAAGCACUAAAUAAAAACAACUGCAAUCAUUUGAUAUCUAAUUACAUGCCUCUACUUCUCCAGAAGAUUCCUAAUACGUUCGUCAUGAGGACUCCCAUGAACAAUAAUAGACUUGCACACAAUUAUAUACUUAUAUUCUAGCAAAAUAUCUUUACUCAUCCAAACUUUUCUAAAUCUUCCCUAUCUCCCGAGAAUGGGGGCAUAUAUACACAGAAACAUUUUUACCAACCACUUCACACUACUACAUCAGCAGCAUGAUUGAUUCCCAGCUCAAGAACAUAAGUUGCGCUAAAGACUACGUGAUCAUUUAUCCGCACCAUUAAGAACCUUGACCUUCAAGUUCUACGAUCGUAAUCAAACUUUCUCCAACCAUUUCCCUGAGCAUCCUACCAACCACUCAUCGGGGAUCAUCAUUAAAGUUCAUAUUCAAAAACACUAAAAAAUCAAACAACAUAGUUCAGACCCCGAAAACAAAGUUAAAUCCUUUUUCCUCAUUCACGAUUGUUAUACUGGACUUGAACAAAUGUAUACAUUAAAACAAACAUAACUCGAACUGUCAAUUCAAUGUCCCCAUUAAUUAAAUCCCCAAACUUUUUUCAACAACACGGUCGCAUAAUUAGCAGUUUUAAAAUAUGAAUACAAUAUUCACAAUUGCAGGGAAAUUAUAACGAAAAUUCAAAGUAACUGAGUCAUUAUGAUAUUACCGAGCACAGGGCCAAUCUUCUGCAUCAGCUGGACAAAUCCCAUAGAUUUUUAUUGGAUUGUAACUUGAAUUGAGGAAAAUCAAACCCCCAAGAAAAUUAAUUUAAUGAAAAAAGCUUAAAAUUCUUCUAAUUUGCACCAAAUGAUCAAAUCCCAAAUCAUCCAAAACCAGUAAAAAUCGAAUUUUGCAUCAAAAAAUGUAAAAAGUAUGAGAAAUCCAAAAAUGGGCAUUGACGAUUGAAUUGAAGGCAUCGAUUUUAGUGGAGGACGAUGAAGAAGAAGAAGAAAAGGGUACCUCGUGAGUAGCACGUGCAGAGGAGCCACCACAGACGAAAGAGGAGAGUAUGGAACGACUGGCGGUGCGAUUGACUCGGGGCCGAGAUGGGCGCGAGCCCAGUCGACUGCUGCUCGAACCCAUUUGAGAGAGAGAGAGAGGAAGGAGAGAGAGAGAGAGAGAGAGAGAGAGAGAGAGCGCUUCAGAGAUGGUGAUGAAUGAUGAUAAUUGAAGCAAACCGGCUGAGAGAGAGAGAGCUUUCCAUUUUUCCUUUUUUAUUUCAAAUUCAAUUUUCAUUGUGAACUAAUGGUUUCUACAGUGGACCAGGCUUGACCGACCCAUCAAAUAUAUGGGUCUGGAUCAUCAAGUUUCGGCCCAAUGUAUUCAGUAAAAAACAAAGCUAAGAGCAACUCCAUAUUUAAAAAAUGAGAUGACUCAAAGUCCAUUUAAUCCACCAAAAUGAAUAGUAAUUGACUUUAAUGAACAAUAAUUGUCCAAGUGCAUCAAUUCCUAAAAAAUGAGCUGGGUAAGAGUUUAGUCAAUUCGUAUUAAAAUAUUAUUAAUUUUUUUUAUAAAAAAUUAAAAAAUAAUUUUAUUUUUAAUUUCGGAUAGAAUUUUUAACCUCUUGUCACGUUACGUGUCAUUUUCCGAAAGUACAAUUUUUGUGAAAGAUGGUUAGGUAUAUAUAUAUAUGUAUAUAAUCUUUUAUUUUUUUCUGUAUUUUUAAACAAAUUUUUAUAAUUUUUUAUUAAGUUAAUUAAUCUGGAUCAUUGGAUUUCAAAAAAUAAAAAAAUCCAAUAGCCUAAAAAUGGACAUGUGACCCAUGGUAAGAUUCUGAUAUUUUUUUUAAUGCUGGAACGCACACCUACGCAAGCGUGUAUCCCACGGGCCAACAGCAAAAAAAAAAAUUCACAUGGCUGACGUCAGCUUGGCCUCAUGUAGGCCGGUCUAUUGCUCAGUCCAUUAUGUGUUGGGCUCAAAGGUGGCCUCCACUUUGGGCCAACCUAUUGGGUGGGGUGAAGUUGGUUUUUUUUUUUUUUGGGGGGGGGGGGGCAGCCUAAAAAUUAGACUUUGAGCUAGCACAUUUGUUAGGGAUGAAAUGCUCUAAUAGAAAAAAUGUUAGGCUUAUCAUAUUUUUAAUAUUUCAUGUGUAUAACAUUUUUAAUAAAUAUGGGAUCUACAGUGUUAUUUGCACACUAAUUUUUAUCUCUCACAUAUUCUUGUUAAUUUUUAUUGACUCAUCUUCUUCAAUUCAUAUUGUCGACCGAAAAUUAAGAGGAGUGCGUGAGAAGAAAAAUGAGUGUGUAGAUAACGCUAUUGUAUAAAAAAUUUGAUAAAUAUAGUAUUUACUCUUAUGAUAGAGAUAGGGUUACGUGUUUGGUAUAUAUACGAGUACAAUGAAGCCAUGACAUUUGUAGUGGUGAUUGGUUACAUUGGUAUACUUGAGAUGUGAGGCAAAUUUAUUACCAUCACAAAGAUAAUUAUGAAACUUAUGGGCCUUCUAUUUUACUAAAAAUUGACCUCCAUCGUCCAUAUAUGAAACUUAAACUUGGAGAAAGAUCGUAUACGUUUUAUGAAAGGUUUUUUUAUCUGACAUGGAAUGAGAUAUGGUUUUCUUAACUAAGAUGUGAAAGACAAAAUUAUUCCCAUCACAAAGAUAAUUAUGGAACAUGGGCCUUAUAUUCUACUAAAAUUUGACAUAUUAACUACAUUUUACUAGAAAGAUGUACAUAAAGUUAUACCCAUUUUGGGAAAGUUAUCUAAUUUGACAGAGAAAAUCGAUAAUUUCAAAUGUGUCAAGACGUGUGAUUAUCUCUGUUUAAUUAUAAAUUGGAGGUAGAGAAAAAUGGCAGCACUUUAAUUGUAGUGUGUUUGAAUAGUUGAUCAAGGUAUCGGCAGAGAAAUAUCGAGUUGAAUUGUAGGUAUUCAACUACCAGCAAGACAACCAUGGAUCCAUGGGUGUGACUAGCAGUUGGUGCAUAUGAUGGACACGUUUUACCACUAACAGACGAAACACCAUGUCUGUAUCUACAUAGCUUUCUAUCCUUUCUCCACGUACUUCUGCACCCCAUUAACAAAAAGGCAAAUUAAAAUAUAUUAUACAAAAGUAGACCUAACUUUAAUGCUUUAUCCACUCCUAUAAAAUCUACAUAAUCGUCGAGUUCCAACACACUUCAGAACAAUAUAUCCACUUAUAGUUGCAGGGAACUAAGAAAAAAAAGAAGAUCGACUGAGAAACAUGCCUGACCAUCCACCACCACCACCGGGCCAUGAUCACGGACCCCCUCAUCCUGAGCCUCCUCCGCCGCACGCCCAUGCUCCUCCUCCUCCUCAGCCGGGCGGUGGACCUCACGCACCUCCCCCUGGCCCUCCUGAACCACACAAGCCACAUCAUGAUCCCCAUCAUGGUCCCCAUCAUGGUCCUGGUCAUCACCACCCAUGAAUCAUCAUUCAUCGUAUGAUGAAUAUAUACAUGCUUGCAUGCAUGUAUGUAGAUGUAUGGUGUACGUUGUGAUGUAAUUUCUAGUUUUAACUAAGUCGGUGAGUCCUCUCAUGAUCAUGCAGUUUUAAUGAAUGAUGACUUCGUGUACCCAAAAAGUAUGCAUGAUUAUGUAAAUUAAUAAGAUCGGUUUGUGGUUUUAAUUUCCUCUUAAUUAAUUAGUUAAUUUGGUACGCACUGAGCUGCUGAUCAAAGUGUGGUUUAAGAUGCAAAAUUUCCAUUCCUUUCAUGUUUUAAUUAAGAUGCAAAUCUAAUUACAAACAAAUACGCUGCAACUAACUAAAAACCCUACGUGCAGCAGGCCAUGGAUAAUUUUUGGUCUUUAAUUCGAUCUUUUACUUUAGAUAAAUGUCUAAUUUAAUUGCUGCAAAAGCUAGCUUCUGAAGUAUGAUCAGUGUUAAGAAACAAAUAAAAUUAAGAUAUAUAUCAUCAUUAUAAUUAAAUUUUCUGAUGUAGGAGAACAAAUGAAAUAUGCGUAUAUUGUCGGUGCGUAAUCCGCACUAAUAAUACAACGUUAAAUAAAAAUAUGUAUGUAUUAUUGUAUUAUACAAAUGUAAUGCCACAGUAAGGUUAUUUCCAACCGAAUGAGGGCCAAAAUGCUAUCUUUAGCUCUAUAGUCUUGCAAGAAAUUAUAUUUUAAUGAAUAGUGCUAUGCUAUAUUUUAUACAUCUCAAACU